rnacentral:lncRNA from 1 species
UCCUCCUCCCCCAUCUUCAGACAACAGCUACCCUUCAUACGGCCUGCAGACCGAGCGUCCGGUCCAUCCACCUGAUGAUGUCGGCGGCGAUCUCGUCGCGCUCGGGUUCGAAGAGCAGGUCGUGCAGGAACCCCUCGUACAGCCGCAGGUCCUUGUGCCUCGACGCCGCCUCCCUGUAGAGCUCCUGCGAGGCCAGCGGGUCCGUCACCCGGUCCGCCGUGCCGUGCAGGACUACAAACGGGACAGUCACCUUCUUCAGGUUGUGCAGCAGGUAGGAGGAGAUGCGCAGGAUCUCGUGGCCCGUACGGACCCUGAUCGGCCCCGUGUAGACCAGCGGGUCAGAGUACUUUGCUAGCAGCGCCGCAGGGUCGCGGGACACCGGGAUGCCCCGCUUGUUGGCUCCCUUGAAUUGGAACUUGGGUGCAAUCAGAGAGAAUAUCGGUGCCACUGCCUGCAUUUGAUUCAGAUGAGUCUCAGUGAUGAAACACGACUUGCCAUGCAGGUAAACCAAAAAUAUAUCGCGAAUUUUGAAGUUUUAAAUUUUGUGGAUGAAUUCAAAAGCAGAGCUUCUGAAAUAGCUCUACUUUUGAUAUGAGCGUACAAUAUCAAAAGUUCUCAAAUCAGCAUAAUUUGGAAUAAUAAUAGGAAACCAGAAUAGUUCUAUUACCCCGACUAUCGGAUGCGCUGGUUUUACACGCACAGCUGGUGAAGUCAGGAUGAUCCCUUCCAGUCUGGUUCUGAUAUGGGCGUACAGCGACGCCUGCAAGAUGACAGCUAGUGAUGAGCAACCAUGAAACAAGUAAGUUAAGCGUUGUUAAAUGAGCAUCGUUAGCCAAACCAUUUCAACCAGGCUAUUUUGUUAAUGCUUUGCACCACUCUCCGCCGUCAGGGUAUCCAUUGUUCACAGGCCCAGAGGAGUAGGGUCAGUGUCUAGAUCUGGCCUAAAUACCGAUGACAAAAAAGCGAUUUAAUUCGACAGGCCAUACCUUCAAAACAACAGCUCCACCAGUGGAGUGGCCGAGUAGAAAACAAGGAACAUCUGGAUUCUCCAGCAUAAUUUUAUCAAGAAGUACUUCCUGCUCAGAGAUGAUAAUAUUGCAUUACAUCAGCCAUCAGGAACAGUAGCAAGGAAAAAAAUAGUGUGCUAUACAAAACAACGUCGACCUUAAAAAUAUGCUAUUACCGUGUUAUAGCAUUGCCAUUAGCAAGAUAUUGUACACUGAUCAAUUUAGCGACACAAUUCUCUACACAUUAUACCGUGCUAUUAGCGGCGCUAUAUCGUGCUAUUUUUUUCAGUGAACAGAAUAGCUUUGUGCCUUCUAUGGAAAAACCUUGAACAGGAUGUAGAAGUAGGUGGACAGACAGAGACUUACCAUGUCUUUUAUAACAUAGUCCAGAGAAGGAACAUAACCGUGCAGACCAUCACUCCCACCAUGACCUGUUAUGCAGAAGCUCAAGUUAGCCUGUUGAUGUUGAAACGAAUGCAAAAUUCAGUAGGCAUGCUCACACCUCACAGGAACAAAGAGACUGAAAACCAUGGAUAAUUUUCUCGAAGCACUGCUAGAUUCAUGGGAAUGAGUUGCAAGGUAAGAAUCCACAACUAUGCGGGUACAGCAUGACAACCUUAGCAUCGUUGCUUAUAUUUUACUACCUCCUAUAAAAAAAACUACUAUCUGGUUCUAAAUGUUUGUCAUAAUAUUACCAAUACCAGAUAGCUAGCUAACACCUAGUUAGCUUGAUACCUACAUGAUCCACACACACACACAAAAACAAAAAAAAAAAAAAAAAACUAAGCACUCCCUCCGAUCCAUAUUAAAUGUCGCUGAUUUAGCACUGAUCUUCCACCAAACCAACCAUGUGUAACAUUUCCUAUAAUAUAGCAGAAGAAGACAUGUUCAGAAAACCACAAGUAGGUUUCCUUACCAAUCCAGUCCAUUGCAUAUACUCCAAAGCCACAUGACGUUAGCUGCUCGGCAAAAUGCAAAUACCUCCCACUGAAAAGCAAGAUCAAGAUGCAUUUAGUAAUGCCUCUAAUACAGGGAGGAUAUGAAAAAUAUAGGUGUGUCCACCAACAUGCUGGGGCCUGGAGGACUGGAGGGGACUGACUCAACAUGAUUUCCUUACCUAUGUUCAUUGAGCCCAUGUACGAUGAGCAGAAUGGCCCUGAAGCAAAAGAGGAAGAUAGUCAAUACAAAAUUGUGUCACUGCAAGUGAAAGAGAGGUUCAGCUUGAUGCUUCAAACUUCUCGUUUCUUAUGAAAGAGACUGAACAGAACCAUAAUCUUCAGAAGGUGUUCACACAUGUAGAUCCAUAAAACCAGUCAGCAAAAUUAGGGGUGGAGGAUCACCUAAAUUAGUUGUGAUUAUGUCAUUUUUCAACAUUUGUUUGCUGGGUUGUUUGACUAUUAUGCCAUUCAUAUUGAAAACAGAGUUGACGGUCAGCUCAGGCAACUACACACCGGGUCAUGUCAAGAAUAAUCAACACUUUGGUUGCACAAAGUGGGCGCAUUAAAGAAUUAAGAAAAAUCCCUCUGCCCCUUUCUUGAUAGCUAAGUUUUCCCGUGUCACAUGGAGACAUUACGUUAAGGUUUUUAUGGAGUAUUGAGAGAUAAGAAUGGAACAGAAGUUGGAGAUAAGUAUCAGCUUAUAUUCCUAAUCCGUUCCACUUUACUUGUUCCCCCUUUCCUGUAUUUCAAUGUUGCUUCACACCGUCCCAAAAAAAUUGCACAAAGCUAUCGUUAUUUUAGUCAACUAGCCCAGGUUCCGAAGGAGAGACGCGUACAAGAAAUAUGACAACCUAAAACAGCAGCUCUGCGAUGAGGACAAACUGCAUGCAUCAUCGUUGACAGGGGUAGGUAAUGAGUACGAAUGCAAAGAUAGGUGAAGAUCUGAAUUACAACGUGCAUCGCACGGCACGUCUCUUUAUGAGUAGAGCAGCAGACACAGCCUUCUGUAAAACACUAGGUCCAGGUAUCUAGUAAAGCACUCUAAUCGCGUGAUCAAAACCGCAGCUAGUAUGCAUGAUCUAAAUGCUCAACGUGCCUUGCCAUUACUACACUAGGAUCACCUAAACAGGAGCAGAAAAUUGCAACUUUAACUGAAAUUACCACCCGUUGGCAUCAGAGAAGAGUACCAAAGACGCAAGAGAACUAUUCACCACGCACAAUUCGCAAAUAAACAUAAUUUCUAAGGGAUCAAAGACCAAAAGAAAUCAUUUUAUAUUUUUGAGGGGAGGAAAUCCUUGUAAUAUUGUCAACAAAAUGCCCAGAAUUCUCCCAAAAAAACCUACGUGAUUGACUGAUUCAAAAAUCCCUUCAGGGUGAGGUCAAGUCCACGAACUACCGUUCCCCCACCGCUCCACCGUUAUGAUAUAGUACAGCCAAAGAAAAAAGUGGCGAGUAAAAGACCACGAACCACGAAAGCGAAAUCCACAGAAACGAACAAAAGGAAACCACCAAUUUCCACAGCGACCGAAACCCCCACGGUCCACGGAAGGCAAUUCAAUCGCACACGCCACGGGUCGGGCGGACGGGGCUCACCUCGUCUCCGUGCCGACCGCCGGCGCCCAGACGCGGCAGAAGAGCGCGUUCCGCCUGGCCCCGGCGAUGACGAACGUGCCGCACGUCCUCCCGUCCGCGUCCGAGUCGUCCUCCGCCAUGGGCACCUCCUCCGCGAGCGCCCGGCGGCGGCGCACGUCCUCCUCCUCCGCGGCCCUGCGCCUGCUCCUGGCCUUCCCGGGGCGGCCGGGCUCCGCCGGGCUGGCGGCGUCGGGGCGGCGGCGGCGGCCGACGAGGAGGAGGAGCCAGAGGAAAAGCGAGUGGAGCGCGACGGCGAGGCGGAGCAGCGCGCGGCGGGACAGCACGGAGCGGAAGACGGGCACGAUCCGGCCCGUGGCGCCCGAAGUCAUCAUCAUCUCGUCGCCGCCCAUCUCCAUGGCUCUCCCCCCCCUGCCGCUGCGCGUUUUUCGUGCUUUACUUUUUCUUCGCGUUUUACGCGGUCGCGGGCUUCGUGGGCCGCCCCCGCGUAUUUAUAGGGGAUGGACAUUUAGACUCUGGCGAGAGCGUGGCCUGCUGUUUCCUUCCUGGAAAUCCGUAUCCUCAAGUUGUUUUUUAUUCAUUUCCUGUUAAUACUAAUAAAUUUAUUUAAGAAGAGGAGUGAGGAGAUGGUGGUCCCAUUAACAGUUGCAACGGAUGAACAGUCCAGCUAACAGCUGUGCCAUGCCACGGUCCCACAUGUCACCCCUCUCACCCGAUUAGUGCAACAUUUAAACACCACAUAAUAUAGAGUAUACGAUCAGUUCGAUAUAUAUGGCACUAAAGGGAUACAGGUACUACAGUAGUAGAUUGCCUUCCCAACCAGUGUACAUACAUUCAUUAUUGACAAUAAAUUAUCGGUAUAGCUAUCCGGCAAACUCGCUGGGGUGAGAUCCCACCGAACACCCCUAGAGCCAACCGAUUUGGAUUGCAUGGUGGUAAUUUUCAUCAAAUAUCCAUGUAAAUUAAACAAAAUGACAUGGCAGUUUUCUAAAAUGUCACCCCACCACAUAAACUGCCACCAUUAAUUUUUCGCAUAUGCUAUCCCGACGUACGACAAACAACUAUCUUUACCUAUUACUAGUACAAAUGUCCGUCCGUUGCAACGGGUAAUAAAUUGCAAUACCUGCUACGCGUGCCCAGUGACGAAUCUUGGAAGAAAAUGAAGGGGACUCAAAGUUAAAUAUGCAUAUAGGAAGUCAAAAUCUCUCAAUUCUUUGGUCCAAAUAAGAUCAAAUGUUUUAUAGAAUAAUAGUAUUUUUUCUUUACUAUUUUUUGGAGGGGUCUCGAGCUUAUCGAAACCGUGCUAGAUUCGCCACUCCACGUGCCAUUACUCACCAUUUCUUACACCCAUUGUCAUAAAUGUGGUCAUAAGUUUAAAUUGAUUAUCACUUUUUGAAGCAUGAAUUGUGGAGAUGAAGAUAUCACCCUGAUAUCCUUCGUUUGAUGGAAGAGUAGUAGUACAUGGAUUAGUAUGAUUAAUCACUUGUCUUUGGAAAAACCUGUGUUGCAACUUGUGAAAACAAAUAUAUCAGAUGUUCCUUCCCACAGUAAGCAUGACUCGAGACCUCCACAAGCCCAUACAAUUUAAAAACACAUCCAUUUGUAUUUCCACUUAUUAUUGUCCUAGCCAUCCAUGACUUGCAGGCGUUCCGCACGGCUAAGCUUAGCCGCUCGAUCGACCUUGUCGGAGUGUGCACCUCGUUUGCCAGUCGACCCCGCCAGCGUAUUAUCCCUACGAGCUCUUUCUCAAACCUCCUUCAAAACAAUCACACCAGUUGGUUUAGUGCCCUUUCAAAUCAUCCUUUCUUGUUGAAAAAAAUGUGGACCAGUCUAGUUCAGCCCAUCCAGGAGUUAGGGGACAGAGCGACAACGGACCAAAACAGAUGAAAUUACGGAAGCAAGAAGUGCGUUGCACCAGGCGUAAAAGAGACACAACAUGCUUCAUGUGCCAUUAUGCACCAUUUUUAAUCCAACUUUGAUAAUCAUUAAUAAUAAGGUGAAAUUACUCAAGCAGCAACCUUGGAUCCGUCCUCACGCAAAUCAACAACCUCCAGGGGCCGGAGCCCAGCCAGACAUAGUUCUCCUUUCAGUUUUGGCACAACUUGCUAAACAAAUCACUAACUACAUUUUAACCAUGGUUGAUAUGAGUAAUAAGGGUCAUACAAAGAUACUUCAAAUGCUUGAUCUCCGCCACCAAAGAAGCAUACACAUACAUGUUUGUGUCCCUCCCAUUCAGAAUAUUCACCGCUGAAAAUGAGUAAAUCUCGAUGCAAGCUGGUACUUUCAUUUGUUAUAUAGCAAUAGAUAACUCCUUCAAGUUCGGACGUGAAGAAGCCAACAUACCAUUCUUCAUCCGAUGGAAGAGUAGUUUUGCAUAGAACAAUCGUUUUUCUUUUGUUUUUCUGAAAACACACAUAAUUCCUUAUUUUUAGUAAACUUAUCAUUUUCAUAAAAACUGGAACGCAUUAGCUUCCACCCACUCAUAUGAUGCAUGCAUCCGGAAUAUAUAUUUCUUCUUAUUCCAUACAUGAUACAUAAUAAUGUUACCAAGAUAGCUUGUCAGGCAACACUGAUACAUUGACACGACAAAAAAGAUAACUAUAUUCAUACCUUGUGAGUUAUAUUCUAAGUAGAAUAUAGAUGACGAAGAACCAAAGCUUCUAUGCAUACUCCUGACAAAAAGAAGAAAUAACAGUCAGCUUUAUGUAAAAAUCAAUUAUGUUGCAGUAAUAGAAAUAUAAGUUACGAAAGGCUGACCAGUUAUUCCUACCCACUAAACAAAUAUGUAGCACUAUCAACCAUAAGCAUUGCAUUAUUGCAUACGACUAAACUUGACAUAUAUAUAACACCGUGCGUCCAAACCUAUUUCAGCAAAAGAAAGAACAAUUCUUUUAGUUUGACUUGAUUUUUAUUAACAAGUAAAAUUGUUGGCAGUGUAGGAUGCCGAAUUUACAUGGACCAUAUCAACCACAAUAAGCUGAUGUUUGCUAUCAGUAUAAAUUUGACUUUCCCAUGUCUGGAUUGCAAGAAUUUUCACGAGCUUACCUGAGUACAAUGUCGCUGGUCCAUCUUCUUGGUAGAAACCAGAUGUGGUCUUGUUGCUGGAGUUUCACUCCGCACUGGGACAUUCCACUAUUGGACGCUCUCGCCGGAUUGGCACAACGACUUGUCUGGCCUCAUGACGAUAUCACUUGUCGUCGAGCCUGGAGCAUUAUACCAUGCUUAUAUCAAGACCCCCAAAACUAAGAUAAGAUACAUAGAAAUCUUAAGAGUAUGUGUCAAAACGACCUGACCAUGAAUUUCAAAAUAUGUUCCGAGGGAAAGUUAGAUAAGAAAAAUGCAGUAUUGUGUUAAUUACUUCCUUGCAUCAAUUGAAAUUGCUAACUCCUGCAGCUAAUUUCACAAAGGAAAGAAGAUGGCAAAAUAAUACAAAGUUUUCAUCCUAUAACCAUAAGUUAACUUGAAACCUGCUACUACCUUAAAAUUGUGGCUGGAGUAAUAUAGAAGCUAGCGUGGACGGACCAAUAUGUAGCAUAACUGCAGAAAAGAAAAAAAAUCUAAGGAGUAAGGACAAAUUAAGAGUGCUGGAUCUGGAGGCCUAUAUCAUAAGAUUUCAGUAGAGACAAAUUAAGAUCUUUAUAGAGAAAAUAACACACCUCUGAAAAAAAAGGAAGGACCAAACUAUGUCAAUGACGUACAUUACUAACCAUGCCCGUACGUUGCAACGGGAGAAACAAACUCUCUCAUCUCUUUCGGGGAAAACAAACGAUACUCUGCUCAACUAAAGCUUACAAUUUCCCAUCAUAAUGAGGCAUAAUUUCCAUCUUGUUUUAGCUUACAAUUUCUUCUCAUAUUAAGGCAUAAUUUUCCAUCUUGUUUUAUUCACAUACACAUGGGUCUGUUUUCGACCGAGCUCUGUUUUACAAUAUAAAUUUUCAUCCUCCCAUUCUCGGCCUAAUCAUCACCCCUUGCUCUACACAACAUUUCUUGAAGAGAAUACAAACACUAUUUUUUCUUCCACCAAUACUUAAAGGAUGCAAGGAAUGUUUUUGUUGUUAAUGUACAUGUGCAUGUGUUUAUGCGGUAAUAAUAUAUGACAAACGACGACACGUGCAUAAUCUAGAAGAUAAUCAUGCUAGCAUAUUCAUGAGAUAGGGAAGACAACAUAUAAAAUCUGAACCUGAAUCAUUGUACUAUUUAGGCUUUUCUUUUCUUUUUAUACAACGUCUUCUGUUCCACAUAUUCCUCUGGAUUUUUCACUUAAACAACUUCGAACACUACUUAACACAUGUUUUCACAUGCUAAAUGCAUUCAGGGCCACAUACAUCGUAACCUACAUUCAACCCAGAAAUUAUGAAAUUUAGUCAAACAUUUACCAAAUUAUUUAGACACUUCUAUCCAACCUAAGAUCAGGCCAAGUCAUGCACGCAUAGGAUAUCAGACGCAUGUGCCUGAAUAUUUGAUCAAGGCUGUUGCAACUCCUCUAGAAAAUAUCCAUGAGGACUGAGACAAAUCUCUAUCUGUACGUAGUAGUUUGCAAGGAGCAUAUACAUACUAUUUUUUGAAAUGCAGCAUAUACAACUGAUACUACUUUAACUGAAAAUAAACCUAUCGUUGUCUGCUCUCCAAUUUCAGAGUAGCAUGGUUUAAUUCAUUCAUGACCUCUGCAUUUUAUUCAGACAGCAGCAUGCACCAAGAUACCUACUUAGAAAGCAAAAUCUUCUCUUUCACAGGGCUAGUGUUUCAUCUAGCUUUAGCGUAUCCUCUCUUUCUCCCUUUGGAUAAGUAGUAUAGUUGAUAACAUACAGACUUAAGAAGUAAAUAGUUGAUGACAGAUGCAAAUCAAUGACAUUGUAGUGUAUGUACCUCAGGUCAGAUCAAGUUUUGGCGGAAAGUGGAAUAUGUGAAGACAGAUUUCCAUUGAAGUCGACGGUAUACAGCCAUGUCUGUGUCAGAAACUUGGCAUGAGGAUGAGCCAUAUAACUGUAGAUUCUCCAGGAGAGUUAGAACACAAAAAACUAUUUGACCUUGCAAUAGAAUUGAAAGGGUUAGGUGAUGUGCGUAUCUCUCUCUGUUGUCUCUACCUCUCUGCUCUCUGUCUUCCUCACAUAUCUCCUUUUUCUCCAGAAGACCAGAACAACAGAUGCAACAAUCAAUGUCUCAAUCGGCCACCGAUCUAGUGCUGGACCGCUUCUCCUCUCUCUGUCCAGGAAGUGGUACACCACAAUGGAACUCAACCACCGAUCUCGUGCUGGAUCCUGCCGACCAUGUCCAGCCUCACAAUAGAUCUAGCAUCUCCCGCACUGGUCAUCCUCACGCUUGCCAUGCGAGAUUCGGAGAGUGGAAGCGGGGGCAGCUGCCAGCGCGAUGAAGCCUCUGGCAGCACACUCGUAGGAUCUGGCGCAGUCGUGAGGCGGGUCGCGAGCCUCCCUCCUACCAGGGCCCCUCCUGCUAUUGGGAAACUCGAAGAGGAAUGGAGAGUGGAGGCGCCGACAGUAGGACGAUGGGUGCCUAAGGGGGUGGGAGGGUAGUCUGGGGGUGGAGGAGAGGUCGAGAGGGCCGGAGGCGGAGGGGAGAGCCAUAGCCCGAGGGCUGGGGAGGGAGAGGCCGGUAGAUCUGGCAUCAUACCUCGCCUGCUCGCGACCGAAGCACUGUAACGACAAUAGAGAGGAGAACGCACCAUACCUCGCCUCCUCGCGACCCAAGCGCCGCCGGCCUCAGCUCCCGUCUUGAUCGAUUCCCUCGUCCUCCUCCUUCCUUCAUGCGCCAAACCAGGACGGGAGCGUUGCGCCCCAACCAUGGCGCCGCCCCGGAGAACCACGAUGCCUUGCAAGGUCCCAUCGUAGCUCGCCUGGAUUCGGAUGCGACAGCCGUUCCCCACGUCGAGUCCAUGCGCCACCGCCGCCCUAUGCGAGUGUCACUCGAUCAGAUCGAACUAAAGAAGGUAUUGCGGGUUGAAUACGAAUAACAACAGGGGCUUUUCUAUAAAAAGGCCGUGGCGGGUUUUCCGACAGAAGCGAUAGCCUCUUUAUUAUUAGGUAAAGAAUAAAGCACAUAUUGCUUCUGUGGUCCGUCGUCGUACUUUUGCAAAAAAACUCCCUGUGGUUUCUGAUAAUUGAACCCGCGGUCCACACGUAACAGUGAAUCUUGAGAAAAACGCUUCGCGAUGGCCCGACCCCACGCGAGCGAGAGCAAACCCUACCCCGAGCCGUUCCCUCGCCGCCGCCGCCACACCUCAUCCCGCUCGCCGCCUCCGCCGGAUUGGGACACGGACUGCGCGCAUCGAUGGACGACAGAGGCGGCGGUGGGCGAGAGAGGAGGGAGGCCGCCGCUGCACUGCUGCGCCGACUCGGACGCCGACGCCGUGUCGUCCGUGGCCAUGGCCGCCGCCGCGACGACGACACCGCGUUGCCCAUCCUCACGCCGUCGUGGCGCCGGCCGGAGAAGAGGCCGUCAAAGAGGCCCAUCGCGGCGCGUGGCGGCCGGCCGCAUCGCCCGUGACUCCGUCAAGCGCGCGCGCACGUACGCCCGGCCAAGGCGGCAAAGGGGGAUCGCUCGUGCCGUGGCGGGGAUCACUCGUGCCGUGGCGUGCUCAUGCUUCGAGUGCUAAAGCAUAUGCUUUCUGGCCCAAAAGGGUCUUCCGGCAACAGCUCCGAUGGGUCUCAGGAUUUGAUUGUGGCGGUGCGCCUUCCGAGAGGCAUCAAAGGAAUGGAAAAAUUGGAGACACUGUCGCAUGUUGAAGCUCCCGGCAAGGUUAAUGAUUUAACUGAUGUUGGUCAUCUAUUGCAGCUGAGUAAACUGGGUGUGAUUCUUUCGGCUGAGAAAGGUGGCUUGGGUGUUCUAUUCCAACAGAUUGAAAAAUUACACGGUUGCCUGCGCUCCUUGUCAAUCCAGAUGAACAAACCACCCAAAGCAGAGGAUACUCUUCCAUUAGCUUCACCUCCAAAACUUCUUCAGAGCCUGAACAUUAGUGGCAUUAGAAGUGGGCUCCUUUUGUGGAUUGUAGAGCUUGAUCAACUUACCAAGUUAACAUUGAGCGAGACUUACCUGGGGGAAGACUAUAUACACAUCCUUGGCAAGCUUGCAUCUAUGCGUUGCCUCAGGCUUCGGUGCAAUACCUAUGCCGGAAGCGGGCCCACAUUCAAUGAUGGAGAGUUCAAGAGCCUCAAGUCGUUGGUAGUUGAUGACGGUGUCAUAGCUAACAUUACCUUCGAAACUGGGACAGUUCCCAACCUUGAGAGGAUUGUUUGGUACAAAAAUAUUGUUAUAAUUAAAUCAUGUGCUAACAUUUGCUCUAUCUGGUUUAUCCUCGUGAGAUCAAAUUUUAUGAUUUAUCGGUUAUGUUAUCGUGGAUCCUAGAGCAAAAUUUAUCUUAUCCUGUGUAGUUGGUCGCCCACACUGGAUAGUUUAACCAGAUUUUCUGAUUGUCUGUCUUGAGUGGAUGUGUACAGGAACCUGCAGGAAAACUUCAAUCGGAGCAAGAGUCGCACCACGGAGAUCUUCUUCCUGUGUAGCUUGACAACUUCAGUAAGACUAGAAUCGAUGUGGUUGCCUUGAGUAAGCAUGCUUAUGUACACGGUAAGAGGCAGUAUGUUUGUCAGGAGCCCGGGUGUGGGAAAGGUAUAUCCGACAAAAAGGGGAUAGAUUUAACAUUACACCUUUACUCGUACAUUAAUGUUAGUGAACUUUCUUGUUUACUAGCAUUGACAGAUUUUUCAGUAAUUUUAGACUCAUACCUGAAAUGUUCAUAAAAGCUUUUUUCUCUAUCUUUUUAUUUACGAGGACCUUUCUCUUUUUGCAUAUUAUUAGCGGAUUUAAGGCCCAAUGAUGUGAAUACAUAUAAUACCUUUGGUUAUGUGUCAGGAAAGAUUCAGUUAAAUGAUCAAUUCACUAAUUAAUCAAUCAGUAAAGACUCAGUUGUUUAAUCCUACUAGAGAGAUACUCCAUGCAUUCAAUCAAUUGUUAGUGUUAAUGGAUUGAUCCAGUACAUUCAUUCAUUCAAAUAAUUUAGUCCUACCUGAGAAAUUUAAGAUCACAUAUGUAUCGAAGUCUUGAUCUUUUUUUCUCGUCCAUGUGCAAAUGCUGCUGAGGAAUAAACAAUGAUCAUGUUUAACCGGAUUAGAUGUAUUUUUGGUCUUCACCUAAGCUCCAGGGGUGUGCCAACAAUCAUUACAGGUUGGUCGACAUGAGUCAGGGACCUGACAUGUUUGAGAAGAUGCAAUCCGAUGGCCGCAGGUGUGAUGUCUUCUUCGACCUAAUUUGUUAUGUGAACGGUGAGGAAUUCUCUGUUCUGUGUUCGUUGGACUUCCAUUUGCUUAAAGUUUUUUUUAUUUAGCUAUUCCGUGCUUGCUGAAAUUCUCAUAUGAUGUGACCUGGUAUUAUUGUUGGAAAUAUGCCCUAGAGGCAAUAAUAAAUUAGUUAUUAUUAUAUUUCUUAGUUCAUGAUAAUCGUUUAUUAUCCAUGCUAUAAUUGUAUUGAUUGGAAACACAAUACUUAUGUGGAUACAUAGACAAAACACUGUCCCUGGUAAGCCUCUAGUUGACUAGCUCGUUGAUCAAAGAUGGUCAAGGUUUCCUGGCCAUAGGCAAGUGUUGUCACUUGAUAACGGGAUCACAUCAUUAGGAGAAUCAUGUGAUGGACUAGACCCAAACUAAUAGACGUAGCAUGUUGAUCGUGUCAUUUUGUUGCUACUGUUUUCUGCGUGUCAAGUAUUUGUUCCUAUGACCAUGAGAUCAUAUAACUCACGGACACCGGAUGAAUGCUUUGUGUGUAUCAAACGUCGCAACGUAACUGGGUGACUAUAAAUAUGCUCUAUAGGUAUCUCCGAAGGUGUUCGUUGAGUUAGUAUGGAUCAAUACUGGGAUUUGUCACUCCGUAUGACGGAGAGGUAUCUCAGGGCCCACUCGGUAAUACAACAUCACACACAAGCCUUGCAAGCAAUGUGACUUAGUGUAAGUUGCGGGAUCUUGUAUUACGGAACGAGUAAAGAGACUUGCCGGUAAACGAGAUUGAAAUAGGUAUGCGGAUACUGACGAUCGAAUCUCGGGCAAGUAACAUACCGAAGGACAAAGGGAAUGACAUACGGGAUUAUAUGAAUCCUUGGUACUGAGGUUCAAACGAUAAGAUCUUCGUAGAAUAUGUAGGAUCCAAUAUGGGCAUCCAGGUCCCGCUAUUGGAUAUUGACCGAGGAGUCUCUCGGGUCAUGUCUACAUAGUUCUCGAACCCGCAGGGUCUGCACACUUAAGGUUCGACGUUGUUUUAUGCGUAUUUGAGUUAUAUGGUUGGUUGUCGAAUGUUGUUCGGAGUCCUGGAUGAGAUCACGGACGCCACGAGGGUUUCCGGAAUGGUCCGGAAACGAAGAUUGAUAUAUAGGAUGACCUCAUUUGAUUACCGGAAGGUUUUCGGAGUUACCGGGAAUGUACCGGGAAUGACGAAUGGGUUCCGGGAGUUCACCGGGGGGGGGGGGCAACCCACCCCGGAGAAGCCCAUAGGCCUUGAGGGUGGCACACCAGCCUUUAGUGGGAUGGUGGGACAACCCAAAAGGGCUCUAUGCGCCAAGCAAAGGAAAAUCAAGAGGAAAGAAAAAAAGGAGGAGGUGGGAAGGAAGGGGGACUCCCUCCCACCAAACCAAGUCCAACUCGGUUUGGGGGGGGAGUCCUCCCCCCUUGGACUCGGCCGACCCCCUUGGGGCUCCUUGAGCCCCAAGGCAAGGUCCCCUCCCUCCCACCUAUAUAUACAGAGGUUUUAGGGCUGAUUUGAGACAACUUUUCCACGGCAGCCCGACCACAUACCUCCACGGUUUUUCCUCUAGAUCGCGUUUCUGCGGAGCUCGGGCGGAGCCCUGCUGAGACAAGGUCAUCACCAACCUCCGGAGCACCGUCAUGCUGCCGGAGAACUCUUCUACCUCUCCGUCUCUCUUGCUGGAUCAAGAAGGCCGAGAUCAUCAUCGAGCUGUACGUGUGCUGAACGCGGAGGUGCCGUCCGUUCGGUACUAGAUCGUGGGACUGAUCGCGGGAUUGUUCGCGGGGCGGAUCGAGGGACGUGAGGACGUUCCACUACAUCAACCGCGUUCACUAACGCUUCUGCUGUACGAUCUACAAGGGUACGUAGAUCACUCAUCCCCUCUCGUAGAUGGACAUCAUCAUGAUAGAUCUUCGUGCGCGUAGGAAAUUUUUUGUUUCCCAUGCGACGUUCCCCGACAAUUAUAUGUGCACAGGCUUUGUUUACAACAUCCUUUAGACUGGUUUUGACUGAUAGAAUUGGGUGAAAGCAGAAUUGCUAUUUGUUAGCUAUGACCUAUGAGUCUGAAAUCUGAAGGCAUAUGCUCUUAUAAUUUGAUACGGAGGGUGUUGUUUCGAUCGUAAGUAAUGGAUCAUAUAUUAUGGUAGGCAACCCAGGUUGAAACCUUAAUAAGGGCACUAAGAUGUAAGAACAUCCUGCAAGUGUUAUGAGUAUAUGUUUCAGUUGCAUAUAGCCUGUUGUUUUGUCUGAAGUAAGCUGUUCUCAAUGGGGUGUGAGAAGUGAAAACACGGAUAUUCUGUGUGAAAGGAAGAGUUUUGGGUAUACCAAUGUGCUCAGAACUUGGUAUUCAUAUGAGAAUCUUCUUUCUGCUGUGCUAUCUGUUUGCUGCAAAUGACAUCAAACCGCACAUCUAAUAUGCGUCAUGGUUACAGGUACACAAGAUCUCAGUCAUGCCCUUCCUGCCGCGGAAGCCUGAAGAGAGUCCAGUCCAGGGACCUGUGGGUGCUCACGGGCGACGACGACGUGAUCGACCCUGUGACCCUGGAGAAGGAGAAUGUGAGGCACUUCCACAGCUUCAUCGACAACCUGCCCCUCAUCGUCCCCGACAACCUUCUGCUGGUCUACUAUGACUACCUGCAUCUGAUAGAAAUUUGCAUUUUUAACUUUAACAUAGAUGUUUAGUAAAAUCAGAUAUAAAAACUGGUGCACAAUGACAUAUGAAUCGGUUAUGCUUUUUUUUACCCGGUGCAACGCACGGGCAUUUGUGCUAGUUGGGGUCCUAAAUUAUUACUAGUACUAGUAUAAAAGAAAAUUUUACUCCACCAAACAACUACCCCCUCCGUUCCUAAAUAUAAGUCUUUUAAGAGAUUUCACUAAGUGACUACAUAUGAAGCAAAAUGAGUUAAUCUAUAAUUUAAAGUAUGUCUAUAUACAUCCGUAUUUAGUUCCUUAUUAAAAACUACUAAAAAGACAUAUAUUUAGGAACGGAGGGAGUAGUAAGUAAUUCUACACAAAAUAUUGGCAUGAUUAUAGUUAUAUGUAUUUUUGUGUGAUUUCCCUUGAAGAUACAGAUCAACAUAUCAUUUGUUGUGCUCCUUAUUCUUGCAAAUGCGGAUGACAACACGCGCGCGCACACACACAAACAUAUGUGCAAACGCACGCGCGCGCACACACACACACACCUCCUCUGCCUAUGGGAUGUCAACAGAGAUCUCUCGGGUUGGUCAAGCAAAGGUUCCUUCGAAAUUACUACAUGGAACAUAUCAGCCAACUAGUUACUAGUCCAAAUAGAUCCUCGAGGGAGGUUCAUGAAACAUUGGAGGGUUGUUCCCGUUAGAAUGGUGAUGAGGUGUUUUCGUCACCUCCUGUGUGCCUCCCUCCACGUAUUGAUCGUAGUGGUUCAGAUGGCUAUGAACACCUCGAGGUCGGUAUUACCAGCAUACCUUUUGAUGGGGUGAGGUCAGAAAUUUUAAGGCCACAUGGUGUAUAUGAGUUCUUAAGAUAAGCAGGACACCCAAACAAUCGCAUGCGAGCCUCGUCGCCAUCAAACUUAUAUCGCCUCAUAUAGCUCUCCGACGCGUCUAAGGUGCAUUGUGAAUCAUGAUGAUUUUAUCCUUCUCAUUAAUUCCAUCUUUGACUGAUGAAGUCGCAUUUAUCAUCAUCGUUUUCAUCCAAUGAGGCAAACACAAAAAUUGAGUGCAAAAAAUAUCUCCUCCCACCCCCAAGACACGAUCAACUUUGACCCAAUCAUAGAGGAUUUCAUAGAUAUUCCAUAUUCAGAUAUUCUUAAGUUCCAAUAGAAAUCCUGUUGGGCCCUCAAGCAUAAAGGUUUGCAUAUAGGCAUUAUCCAACAUUCAUCUAUAGCUAAUACUCCACCCAAAGUCACCUAUAAUCACAUAUAUCUAAGUAUUGACUAAUAAAAUGGAAUAUAUCAUUAGGCAAGUUGGCAUAAUGUUGAUGGUAAUGUAUUCUUUUUACCUCUAGUUCACGACCUACGUAAUUACACCCUCCCUUCCGGUUUAGAGGGCUCAAAUCUGGAAUCUCAUCAACCAAGAUAGAUUGUGAGUGGAUGGCACAAGUUUUGUGAGUACAAGAAUGCCCAAUAUAAAUUAUUUCCACAUGUUCAACUCCCAAAGCAACAAGUGCAUCACCCACCUCUAAGAGCAAGUACAAUAGAGUUCAGUCAGCUGGCUAUAAGAAAUAAAGUAGUAUAUUUUUGCUUAGUUGGAGGAAAGAGAAGAGGAGAGAGAAGGUAAGCGGGCUCUUAGUUAAGAGUCAGCUCUAACACAUGCUCGUAGGUACUUUUGUGAGAGUGAAAGGCGGGCCAUAUAAUAAAAAAGUAGUACACUCUUCUAAUCUACUAUUGUAAAUGUUGACUAUAAGAUGGGAUAUAGAUGACGUGGCAAUGACUUAUAGCCAACACCUCGCUAUACUACUAACCAUGCUCUAAUUGGACUUGCAAGGUGCAUGCAAAAUAAGAUGCAUGCAUGACCACUAUUCCCUCUCUCUCAUCUCUAUGAAUUCAAUGUGGCAUGGACUCAAAGCACUUUAAUUCAAUUGGACUCAAACUAAGCCUAGUAUAAUGGAAAUCUAAAAGAAUUUAGAUAAGGAGGGAGUAUCUUUUUAUCUCGCAAUAACCAAAAAGGAGGGGGUAUCUUUUUAUCUCGCAAUAACACACUACAAGCAUUUUUAUCCGUUUAUCUUUGAGAUAAAAUGCUUGCGCAAUUAAACCCAAUAAACAUGCAAAAUAUAGAACAUCUCUUCAUGGAUGGUGAUUGAGAUGGGGGUUGUUGUUGCAGAUUGAGUGGGCGGAGAUGACCCUAAUGAUGCAUUGGUGUUGAAUGGAUUCGUAUUCCCACAAUUGGAUGUGGUGGAUCUAGUGGGGCCAGCCCUCCAGAAAAAGAGUAUUCUCUAUUCCUCCCAAAUACGGAAAAAUACAUAAUAUUUCGUGUGCGAAUUAGAUGUUAGGGAAGACGAUAUGUAGCAGAGAGAAGGUCAAGGAAUCCAAGUAGGACCCACACAUGAAGAUUGCAUACCCCGGACCUCUCAAUGCUAACCUUGAACCUGAUGCACGGGCUUUGUUAAUCUUGAUCCUGAUGCACGAGCGCUUUCCAUGUUGAUCCUUAUGCACAUGGUGGACUCCCUAUUAAUUUUAUUAAAUUGCCAUGGAUACAUGUGUUGGUAGUGUUGGAAAUAUGCCCUAGAGGAAUAAUGAAUUAGUUAUUAUUAUGUUUCCUUGUUCAUGAUAAUCAUUUAUUAUCCAUGCUAUAAUUGUAUUGAUUGGAAUUCAAAUACAUGUGUGGGUAUAUAGACAAAACACUAUCCCUAAUGAGCCUCUAAGGACUAGCACGUUGAUCAAAGAUGGUCAAGGUUUCCUGGCCAUAGACAUGAGUGGUCAUUUGAUAACGGGGUCACAUCAUUAGGAGAAUGAUGUGAUGGACAAGACUCAAACUAUGAACGUAGCAUGUGAUCAUGUCAUUUUAUUGCUACUGUUUUUCUGCAUGUCAAGUAUAUGUUCCUAUGACCAUGCGAUCAUGUAACUCACUGACACCGGAGGAAUACCUUGUGUGUAUCAAACGUCGUAACGUAACUGGGUGACUAUAAAGGUGCUCUACACGUAUCUCCAAAGGUGUUCAUUGAGUUAGCAUGGAUCAAGACUGGGAUUUGUCACUCCAUAUGACGGAGAGGUAUCUCGGGGCCCACUCGGUAAUACAACAUCACAACAAGCCUUGCAAGCAAUAUGAUUAAAGAGUUAGACAUGGUUUUUUUUAUUAUGAAAUGAGUAAAGAGACUUGCAGGUAACGAUAUUCAAAUAGUAUAGAUAUACCGACGAUCGAAUCUCGGGUAAGUAACAUACCGAAGGACAAAGGGAAUACGGGAUUAACUGAAUCCUUGACAUAGAGGUUCAACCGAUAAAGAUCUUCGUGGAAUAUGUAGGAGCCAAUAUGGACAUCCAGGUCCCACUAUUGGUUAUUGGUCAGAGAAUGUCUCGAUCAUGUCUACAUAGUUCUCGAACCCGUAGGGUCCGCACACUUAAGGUUCAGUGACGUUUCGGUAUUAUUGAGUUAUGAAUGUUGGUGACCGAAAGUUGUUCGGUGUUUGAGAUGAGAUCCCGGACAUCACGAGACCUCCGGAAUGAUCCGGAGGUAAAGAGUGAUAUAUAGGAAAGUUGCAUUUGGCUUCCGGAAAGAUUUCGGGCAUUACCGGUAAAGUACCGGGAGUGACGAAUGGGUUCCGUGGUUUCACUGCGACGGGCCACCCACCCGGGAGGAGACCGAGUAGGCCUAAAGGUGGCGCACCAACACCUAGUGGGCUGAUGUGGCCAUCCCAAUAAAACCUAUUUCGGCCAAGUGUACAAGUAAAAAGGAAAAAGGAAAAAAAGGGAGGAGGAGACCAACUAGGAAGGGAGUCCUCCACCAAACCGAAUUGGGGGAGGACUCUCCUCCCUAGCUCGGUCGAACCUCUCCUCCUUGAGGAGGAGGCAAUGUAGCCCUCCCACCUCUUCCUCCUAUAUAUAGUGGAGGUUUUGAGGGCAACACACACCUGAAAAUCCACGUGCUGCCUGAUACGUCCAUUUUGCAUCAUGCUUUCAUGUUGAUAUUUAUCGCUUUAUGGACUGUUAUUAUACUUUGUGGUACCAUACUUAUGCCUUUUCUCUCUUAUUUUGCAAGGUUUAUUUGAAGAGGGAGAAUACCGGCAGCUGGAAUUCUAGACUGGAAAAGGAGCAAGUCUGAGUCCUCUAUUCUGCGCAACUCCAAAUGCCCUGAAAAUCAACGUGGAUUUUUUUGGGAAUAUAUAAAAAAUACUGGGCGAAAGAACUGUCAGAGGGGAGCAGCCAGGGGCCCACAAGCCUGGUUGCCGCGGCCUACCCCCCUGGCCGUGGCAACAGGGCUUGUGGGCACCUUGGUGGCCCACUGGCCCCCCUCUUUUGCUAUAUGAAGGGUUUCGUCCGAGAAAAAAUCAGGGUGGAGCUUUUUCUUGGAUUCGCCGCCGCCACGAGGCGGAACUUGAGCAAAACCAAUCUAGAGCUCCGGCAGGACGAUCCUGCCGGGGAAACUUCCCUCCCGGAGGGGGAAAUCAUCGCCAUCGUCAUCACCAACACUCCUCUCGUCGGAGGGGAGUCAUCUCCAUCAACAUCUUCAUCAACACCAUCUCCUCUCCAAACCCUAGUUCAUACCAAUCUCCGUCUCGCGACUCUGAUUGGUACUUGUAAGGUUGCUAGUAGUGUUGAUUACUCUUUGUAGUUGAUGCUAGUUGGAUUACUUGGUGGAAGAGUUUAUAUUCAGAUCCUUGAUGCUACUCAUUACACCUUUGAUCAUGAUUAUGAUUAUGCUUCGUGAGUAGUUACUUUUGUUCCUGAGGACAUGGGAUAAGUCAUGCUGAUAAUAGUCAUGUGAAUUUGGUAUUCGUUCGGUAUUUUGAUAUGUUGUAUGUUGUCUUUUCCUCUAGUGGUGUUAUGUGAACGUCGACUACAUAACACUUCACCAUCUUUGGGCCUAGAGGAAGGCAUUGGGGAGUAGUAAGUAGAUGAUGGGUUGCUAGAGUGACAGAAGCUUAAACCCCAGUCUAUGCGUUGCUUCGUAAGGGGCUGAUUUGGAUCCACUAGUUUAAUGUUAUGGUUAGACGUUGUCUUAAUUCUUCUUUCGUAGUUGCAGAUGCUUACGAGAGGGGUUAAUCAUAAGUGGGAUGCUUGUCCAAGUAAGGGCAGUACCCAAGCACCAGUCCACCCAUAUAUCAAACUAUCAAAGUAACGAACGCGAAUCAUAUGAACAUGAUGAAACGAGCAUGACAGAAAUUCCCGUGUGUCCUCGGGAGCGUUUUCCCUCUUAUAAGACUUUGUUCAGGCUUGUCCCUUGCUACAAAAGGGAUUGGGCCACUUUGCUGCACCGUUGCUACUACUUGUUACUUGUUACCUUUCGCUUGCUACGUUUCACCUCACUACACCAUCACUUGUUACCGCUACUUUCAGUGCUUGCAGUUAUUACCUUGCUGAAAACCGUUUAUCAGAGCCUUCUUCUCCUCGUUGGGUUCGACACUCUUACUUAUCGAAAGGACUACGAUUUAUUCCCUAUACUUGUGGGUCAUCACUGCCCUCUCCUCCAUAGAUUGUCUACUUCAUCUAGAUUAGUCCGGCAUAGCUUGGCGAAGCCGUGCUGGAUUAGUUCACCACCACCACCACCACGCCGUCGUGCUGCCAGAGAACUCAUUUACCUCGCCGUCCCUCUUGCUGGAUCAAGAAGGUGGAGAUCAUCAUUGAGCUGUACGUAUGCUGGACGCGGAGGUGCCGUCCGUUCGGCACUAGAUCGGGAUGGACCGUGAUGGGAUCACGGGACGGAUCGUGAUGAGAUCGUGUGACGGAGUGCGAUUUGGAUCACGAAGAUGUUCGACUACAUCAACCGCGUUAUAUACGCUUCCACUUAGCGAUCUACAAGGUACGUGGAUCCGCACUCCCCCUCUCGUAGAUGGUCAUCACCAUGGAUAGAUCUUAUGUGUGCGUAGGAAAUUUUUUGUUUCCCAUGCAACGUUCCCCUUCAGUCGCAUCAUGAGCUAGGUCUAUGCAUAGAUGACAUCUCGAGUAGAACACAAAUUAGUUUGUGGGUGUUGAUAUUCAGAUUGCUGCCCUCCUUAGUCUUUUCUUGAUUCAGCGGUAUUGUUGGAUGAAGCGGCCCGGACAAACCUUACUUGUACGCUCACGAGAGACCGGUGCCAUCAACUGACAUGCAACUUGUUGCAUAAAGAUGGCUAGCGGUUGUCUGUUUCUCCUACUUUAGUUGAAUCGGAUUUGACAAAGGCGGUCCUUGGAGAAGGUUAAAUAGCAACUUGUGUAUCACCAUUAUGGUUAUGCGUAGGUAAGAAUCGUUCUUGCUAGAUACCCAUAGCAGCCAUGUAAAAGAUGCAACAACAAAUUAGAUGACAUCUAACUUGUUUUUGCAGGGUAUGCAUGUGAUGUGAUAUGGCCAAAGACAUGAUAUGAUAUAUUUGAUGUAUGAGAUGAUCAUGUCGUAAUAGUUAAAUAUCGACUUGCAUGUCGAUGCUACGACAACCGGCAGGAGCCAUAGGGUUGUCUUUAAUUAUUUUGCGCUUGGUGAUGCUUUGCUUUAUCGCUAGUUCAGUAGCUUUAGUAGCAAUAGCAUAGUUAACGCGAAAACCUCGAUGGCAGCACAAUGAUGGAGAUCAUGGUGUGGCGUCGGUGACGAUGGAUAUCAUGCCCGUGAUUUGAAGGUGGAGAUCAAAAAGCACAAGUUCAUGGCCAUAUCAUGUCACUUAUGAUUUGCAUGUGAUGUUAAUCCUUUUUAUGCACCUUGUUUUGCUUAGGACGACGGUAGCAUUAUAAGGUGAUCCCUCACUAAAAUUUCAAGAUAAAAUUGUGUUCUCCCCUAGGUUGCACCGUUGCGUAAGUUUGCCGUUUCGAGACACCACGUGAUGAUCGGCUGUGAUAGACUCUACGUUCACAUACAAUGGAUACAAAACAAUUGCAUACGCGAAACACUGGGGUUAAACUUGACGAGCCUAGCAUGUACAGACAUGGCCUCUGAACACAAGAGACCGAAAGAUCGAACAUGACUCAUAUAGUAGAUAUGAUGAACAUAGAGAUGUUCACCAGUAAAGCUAACUCAACUCAUGUCAUGAUCGGACUUGAGUUAAUGAAUUUGGAUCACGCACCACUCAACUGAGCACAGGGUUGUCAAUUUGGGUGGGAGUUCUUAAGUAAUAUGAUUAAUUGAACUCAUUAUCAUGAACAUAGUCAAAAUGCCUUUGCAAAUUAUGUUGUUGUUGGAAAUAUGCCUAGAGGCAAUAAUAAAUUGGUUAUUAUUAUAUUUCCUUGUUCAUGAUAAUCGUUUAUUAUCCAUGCUAUAAUUGUAUUGAUUGGAAACUCAAAUACAUGUGUGGAUACAUAGACAAAACACUGUCCCUAGUAACCCUCUAGUUGACUAGCUCAUUGAUCAAAGAUGGUUAAGGUUUACUAGCCAUAGACAAGUGUUGUCACUUGAUAACGGGAUCACAUCAUUAGGAGAAUGAUGUGAUGGACAAGGCCCAAACUAUAAACAUAGCAUGAUCGUGUCAGUUUAUUGCUACUAUUUCAUGCAUGUCAAUGUAUUUGUUCCUAUGACCAUGAGAUCAUAUGCAACUCCCAGACACCGGAGUAAUACCUUGUGUAUAUCAAACGUCGCAACGUAACAGGGUGACUAUAAAGGUGCUCUACAGAUAUCUCCGAAGGUGUCUAUUGGGUUGGCGUGAAUCGAGACUGGGAUUUGUCACUCCAUAUGACGGAGAGGUAUCUCGGGGCCCAAUCGGCAAUACAACAUCACAAUAAGUCUUGCAAGCAAUGUGACUAAGAAGUUAGUCACGGGAUCUUGUAUUACGGAAGGAGUAAAGAGACUUGCCGAUAACGAGAUUGAACUAGGUAUAGAGAUACCGACGAUCGAAUCUCGGGCAAGUAACAUACCGAAGGACAAAGGGAACAACAUACGAGAUUAAUUGAAUCCUUGACAUAGAGGUUCAACUGAUAAAGAUCUUCGUAGAAUAUGUAGGAGCCAAUAUGGGCAUCCAGGUCCCGCUAUUGGUUAUUGGCCGUAGAGGUGUCUUGGUCAUGUCUGCAUAGUUCUCGAACCCGUAGGGUGUGCACACUUAAGGUUCGAUGACGUUUUGGUAUAGUUGAGUUAUAUGUGUUAGUAACCGAAAGUUGUUCGGAGUCCCGGAUGAGAUCUCGGACAACAGAGGAGCUCCAGAAUGGUUUGGAGUUAAAGAUUGAUACAUAGUAAGUCCUAUUUUGGUCACCGGAAAAGUUUCAGGCUCAUCGGUAGUGUACCGGGAGUGCCGGGAGGGUACCGGGGACCAUCGAGAGGGAUGUCAUGCCCCGAGGGGCCUUAUGGGCUGUGGGAGGAUACAAACCAACCCCUAGUGGACUGACAUAAGCUCCCACUAAGUCCCAUGAGGUUUGAGAAGGAAAGAAACCCAAAGGUGGAAAAGGUGGAAAGGGUUUCCAAGUGGAGAGGAGGAAUCCUACUCCUACUAGGAUUGGAGUAGGACUCUUCCACCUCCAAUUUCGGCCAAACCUUGAGGGUUUGAGGCUGCCUCCUCCCCUCCCUCCCUCCUAUAUAUACUAGAGGUAUUGAGGGUUUUUGAGACACAUAAAAAACAACCACAUGUUGCCCUCUCUCUCUAGAUCUGUUUCUCCUCUAGUCUAGUUUCAGCGGUGCUUAGGUAAAGCCCUGCUAGAAUAGCUCCACCACCACAACCACCAUGCCGCCGUGCUGGAGAACUCAUCUACCUCUCCGCCCCUCUUUCUGGAUCAAGAAGGUGGGGAUCAUCAUCGAUCUGUACGUGUGCUGAACGCGGAGGUGCCGUCGGUUCGGCACUAGAUUGGGAUGGAUCGUGAUGGGAUCGCGGGAUGGAUCGUGAUGAGAUCGCGGGACGGACUGCGAUUUGGAUAGCGAAGAUGUUCCACUACAUCAACCGCGUUAUAUACGCUUCCGCUUAGCGAUCUACAAGGGUAUGUAGAUUCACUCUCUCCUCUCGUAGAUGACCAUCACCAUGGAUAGGUAUUUGAUACGUCUCCAUCGUAUCUACUUUUCCAAACUCUUUUGCCCUUGUUUAAUUUGGACUCUAAUUUGCAUGAUUUGAAUGGAACUAACCUAGACUGACGCUGUUUUCAGCAGAAUUGCCUUGGUGUUAUUUUUGUGCAGAAAUCAAAGUUCUCCCAACGUCGUGAAAAUUUACGGGGAGCAGUUUUGGAAAAAAAGAAAAAUAUCUGCGCCAAGUUCCACCUGAGGGGGUGGGCCACAAGCCCUGGCUCCGCCACCACCCCCCUGGUGGCGGUGGGCAGGCUUGUGGGGCCCACACGGCUCUGCUGGCCCCAACCUCAGGUCUAUAAGUUCACUUUCGUCCCAGAAAAAUUAAAAAGAGAAGUUUUCGUCGCGUUUGCGAUACGGAGCCGCUGCCACCACCUGUUCUUCAUCUGGAGGGCAGAUCUGGAGUCCGUCUUGGGCUCUGGAGAGGGGAAAUCGUCGCCAUCGUCAUCAUCAAUCUUCUUCCCUCUCCAAUUCCAUGAAGCUCUUCGUCGUUCGUGAGUAAUCUAUUCGUAGGCUCGCUGGGCGGUGAUGAGUAGGAUGAGAUCUAUCAUGUAAUCGAGUUAGUUCUGAUGGUGAUUGAUCCCUAGUAUCCACUAUGUUUUGAGAUUGAUGUUGCUACUACUUUUCCAUGCUUAAUGCUUGUCACUAGGGCCCGAGUGCCAUGAUUUCAUAUCUGAAAUUAUUAUGUUGUCACCAAUAUAUGUGUGUUUUAGAUCCGAUCUUGCAAGUUGUAGCUACCUACUAUGUGUUAUGAUCCGGCAACCCCGGAGUGACAAUAACCGGAACCACUCCCGGUGAUGACCAUAGUUUGAGGAGUUCAUGUGUUCACCAAUUGCUAAUGCGUUGGUCCGGUUCUUUAUUAAAAGGAGAACCUUAAUAUCCCGUAGUUUCCUUUUGGACCCCGCUGCCACGGGAGGGAUGGACAAUAGAUGUCAUGCAAGUUCUUUUCCCUAAGCACGUAUGACGACCCACGGAAUGCAUGCCUGCAUCACAUUGAUGAACGGGAGCUAGACACAUAUCUCUCCGUGUUAUAACUGUUGCAUGAUGAAUAUCAUCCAAACAAAUCACCGACCCAUUGCCUACGAGUUUGUCCUACUGCUGAUGUUACUUGUUUUGCUCUGCUGUUGUUACUACUGUUGCUGCUGCUACUGUUGCUACUACUGUCGCUUGCUACUAUUGGUACUUGCUACUGCUGUCACUACUGUUGUUCCUUGCCACUGCCGUUACUCUCUACUUUGCUGUUACUACUUUGCUUGCAGAUACUAAUCUUUCAGGUGUGGUUGAAUCUGACACAUUCAGCCGCUAAUACUUGAGAGUAUUCUCUCACCUCCUGUUUGGCGAAUCAACAAAUUUGGGUCGAAUACUCUACCCUCGAAAACUGCUGCGAACCCACGCGCUGGUGGGCCGUCAACAACAUUCUGCUAGUUCCAUUACUGGGGAGUGCUAGCAGCAUUCUUCUGGUGCCGUUGCAGGGGAAGCUUUGUUGUCACAGAAUCAGCAUUCGUCUAGCUAUUUCCAGAGAGUGCCAGUCAGCAUUUUUCUGGCGCCGUUGCCGGGGAGGUAUUGCUAUAUUCUGUGAGUCACUUGGGAUUUAUAUCUGCUGAUCACUAUGAAGAAUCUGAAGGAUCCGAAAACCAAAGUCUUGCCCUCAACUACGAGGGGAGGUAAGGAAUUGCCAUCUAGCUCUGCACUUGAUUCACCUUCAGUUAUGAGUAAGUUUGCGACAUCACCUCCUGCUAGAAAUCUUGAUAUGUCGCCUGUGCUUGAUGAUGCUUAUGAUGCUACUGCUAGAGAUGCUAUGCUUGAUACUUCUAGAGAUGCUAAGCUUGAUACUGCUUUGCCUGAUGAUGCUAGAGAUGCUAUUUUGCCUGAUGUUGCUAUGCUUGAUACUGCUAGAGAUACUACUUUGCCUGAUGUUCCACUAGGGGUGUUCCUUGAUGCUCAUAUUGCUAGAGUUACUCCCAAUGCUCGUGAUACUUCUGAAACUACCGAUACUAUUGAGAUAGAACCUGCUUUUGCUCCUGCUAGAUCUAGCUCUCCUAGAUAUGAAUUGCCUGAUAUACCUGAGGGUUACGUUAUGGAGGGAGAGAUAGCUGAGGAUUUUCUUACGUGUAAGGAUGCCUAUGACGCUGAGAAAUUACUUCUCAAGUGGAAGGAAAAAUCUCGGGAAGCUAAGAUGAAAUAUGACCCGAAGUUUGCCACUUCACCUAUCUUUAUCACCGAUAAGGAUUAUGAAUUCUCUGUCGACCCUGAGAUAAUCUCUCUAGUCGAAUCUAAUCCUUUUCACGAUUAUGAGUCUGAGACUGUCGUAGCCCAUCUUGCCAAACUACACGAUAUAGCCACCCUUUUCACUAAUGAGGAGAAGAUCCACCGCUACUAUAUCCUUAAGCUGUUUCAUUUCUCUCUAAAGGAUGACGCUAAAGCCUGGUUCAUCUCUCUUGCUCCUGGAUGUGUGAGUAGUCCCCGGGAGAUGGUCUAUUACUUCUGUGAGAAAUAUUUCCCUGCCCAUAAGAAGCAAGCUGCCUUGCAGGAAAUAUACAACUUUGCUCAACUCCAAGAAGAGAGUCUCCCACAAGCUUGGGGGAGGCUCGUCCAGCUACAGAAUGCUUUGCCUGAUCACCCUCUUAAGAAGAACGAGAUACUUGAUAUCCUCUAUAACGGACUUACUGAUGCCUCUAGAGACCACCUAGAUAGUUGUGUCGGUUGUGUUUUUAGGGAACGAACUAUAGAACAAGCUGAGACCCUACUGAAUAACAUCGUGAUCAACGAUAAUGCUUGGACUAUUCCUGAACCACCUCCGAAGCCAACUCCUAAGAAAAGAGGUAUUCUAUUCCUCAGUUCUGAAGAUAUGCAAGAAGCCAAGAAAUCCAUGCAAGAGAAAGGCAUUAGAUCUAAAGAUAUCAAAAAUCUACCACCUAUCGAAGAGAUCCAUGGUCUCGAUAACCCGAUAUAGGUAGUGGUAGUGAAUUCUCUGCGUAGGUUUGAUGAGAGUGAUAUUCCUUUUGAUAAACCUGCUAGCCUAUGCUUUGAUGAAUUUGAAAACUUUGUUGCCAAACAACAGAGUUUCAAUGAUUAUGUUAGCAGACAUUUGGAACAAAGUACUCGUAUGCUUAGCCAUUUAAGUGCUUGUGUAGACAGAAAUAUAAAUGCUCUGAAGCUUCUGAGUAAACAUGACUCUAUGAUUACUACUCAGGUAGAACAAGUACUUAAAGCUUAUAAUAACUUGCUCAAUGAAUUACAGGACAACUCUGUCAGAGUCAUUACUAGAGGAGGCAAAAUGACUCAGGAACCUUUGUAUCCUGAAGGUCAUCCUAAGAGAAUUGAUCAAGAUUCUCAAGGAGUCAAUGCUGAUACACCUAGUCAUCCUAAGGAGAAGAAGAAGGAUGAUAGAAACCUGCAUGCCAGUUCACCAAAUACUGUCACACCUAAAGAACCUAAUGAUAUUUCUGCGUCUGAUGCAGAAACACAAUGUGGUGAUGAACAUGAACCUGGUGACAAUAUGGACAAUGAUGUUCAUAAUAAUGCUCAACCUAGCAAUGAUGAGGAUGUGGAGAUUGAACCUACGGUUAAUCCUGAUAACCCACAACCUUAGAAAUAUGAUAAGAAUGACUUCACUGCUAGGAAGCAUGGUAAAGAAAGAGAGCCAUGGGUUCAGAGACCUAUGCCCUUCCCUCCUAAGCAAUCCAAGAAAAAGGAUGAUGAGGAUUUUGAGCGCUUCGUUGAGAUGAUUUGACCCAUCUUUCUGCAGAUGCGGUUAACUGAUAUGCUCAAGAUGUCUCCGUAUGCCAAGUACAUGAAAGAUAUCGUGACUAAUAAACGGAAGAUACCGGAUCUUGAGAUCUCCACCAUGCUUGCCAACUACACUUUCAAAGGUGGAAUUCCUAAGAAACUUGGUGAUCCCGGAGUGCCCACUAUACCUUGCUCCAUUAAAGGAAACUACGUAAGAACUGCCUUAUGUGACCUUGGAGCGAGUGUUAGUGUUAUGCCACUCUCUCUUUAUCGUAGACUUGAGUUGGAUAAGUUGACACCCAGUGAAAUUUCUCUGCAAAUGGCCGACAAGUCAGCUUCUUUCCCUAUCGGCCUUUGCGAGGAUGUGCCUGUUGUGGUUGCUAACACCACUAUCUUAAGAGACUUUGUUAUCUUGGAUAUUCCCGAGGACGAUGUCAUGGCUGUCAUCCUCGGAAGACCCUUUUUAAAUACUGCAGGGGCUGUUAUAGAUUGCAACAAAGGCAAUGUCACUUUCCAUGUCAACGGUAAUGAGCACACAGUGCACUUUCCGAAGAAACGAUAUCAAGUACAUUGCAUCAAUGCUAUCGAAAAGACUUCAUCGAUUCUCAUUGGGAUCUUUGAAUGUCCUAUUCCUCAUGUCAAGAUGAAGUAUGAUUUUCUUGUUGGGGAGAUACAUAUCCCCAUUGAGGUGACUUAGUGGCUAUUAGAAAUUUCUCCGUUCUCUCUUGUGAUUCGAGAAGGUUUUGUCAUAAGGACUUGAUCAAUCCCAUUGACGGAUUUCUUCCGAUGACCAUGAAACGGAUGAAUCAAAGAGCCACAUACCUCCGUUUAGAGCUUUCAUUUUCUUUUGCUUAGAAGAAAAAUGAUAGAAUUAGUUUAGCUUUUCCUGUUUUCUGUUUUAGCGUCCCGGAGAAAAAUACCUCAAAAAUAAAAGUUCUCCGAUGGUCCUGAAAAUUUAGUAUGAUUUUUUUUGGAAUUUUUGAAAAUUUCUGGGCCUAAGAGCUGGCCUGGGGGCCAGACCAGUGGGCCACAAGCCCUACCACCGCCACCUACCCCCUUGGUGGCGGAGUGCAAGCUUGUGGGGCCCACAUGGACCCCCUCCACUCAUUCCAGCUCCCAGCCUCUUCUUCCACCUCCAGGAAAAAUUGUUUCGCAGCUCAAACCCGUGUUCUUGCUCACUUGGCUGUAAUUUUCGAUCUCCUUGCUCAAAGCACCAUUCUUCGAACCGUUUUGGGGAAAUUACUCCUUCGUAAGUGACUCCUCCAUUGGUCCAAUUAGUUUUUUCUCUAGUGCUUUAUCCUUCGCGAAUUCUUGCUACCUUGGUGACCCUGUUCUUGAGCUUGAAAGGUUGAUUUUAGCUGGUCCCAAGUAGUUUUAGCGCGUGAUACGGUCUCUAGGCACUAGUAGGAGUAGUUGCUACAAGGUAUGUGAUACGUCCAUUUUGCAUCAUGCUUUCAUGUUGAUAUUUAUUGCUUCUUGGGCUGUUAUAUUACUUGUGGUACCAUAUUUAUGCCUUUUCUCUGUUAUUUUGCAAGGUUUAUUUGAAGAGGGAGAAUUCAGGCAGCUGGAAUUCUGGACUGGAAAAGGAGCAAAUCCUAGUCCACUAUUCUGCACAUCUCCAAAUUCCGUGAAUAUUUACAUGGAUUUUUUCUGGAAUAUAUUAAAAAUACUCGGUGAAAGAACUACUGGAGGGGGGCCACGAGGGCCCCACAAGCUUGCCCACCGCCACCACCCCCCUGGUGGCGUAGGGAAGGCUUGUGGGCUUCCUGAAGGCCCACUAGCCCCUCUCUUUUGCUAUAUGAAGCGUCCUGGCCUGGAAAAAAUCAAUAGGGAGCUUUUUCGUGGUUUCGCCGCCGCCACGAGGCGGAACUUGAGCAGAUCCAAUCUAGAGCUCUGGCAGGACGAUCCUGCCGGGGAAAUUUCCCUCCCGGAGGGGGGAAUCGUCGCCAUCGUCAUCACCAACACUCCUCUCGUCGGAGGGGAGGCAUCUUCAUCAACAUCUUCAUCAGCACCAUCUCCUCUCCAAUCCUUAGUUCAUCUCUUGUAACCAAUCUUCGUCUCGCAACUCAGAUUGGUACUUGUAAGGUUGCUAGUAGUGUUGAUUACUCCGGGUAUGAUUAUGAUUAUGUCUUGUGAGUAGUUACUUUUGUUCCCGAGGACAUGGGAUAAGUCAUACUCAUAAUAGUCAUGUGAAUUUGAUAUUCGUUCGGUAUUUUGAUAUGUUGUAUGUUGUUUUUCCUCUAGUGGUGUUAUGUGAAUGUCGACUACAUAACACUUCACCAUAUUUGGGCCUAGAGGAAGGCAUUGUGAAGUGGUAAGUAGAUGAUGGGUUGCUGGAGUGACAGAAGCUUAAACCCCAGUCUAUGCAUUGCUUCGUGAGGGGCUGAUUUGGAUCCACUAGUUUAAUGCUAUGGUUAGACUUUGUCUUAAUUCUUCUUUUGUAGUUGCGGAUGCUUGCGAGAGAGGUUAAUCUUAAGUGGGAUGCUUGUCCAAGUAAGGGCAGUACCCAAGCGCCGGUCCACCCACAUAUCAAACUAUCAAAGUAACAAACGCGAAUCAUAUGAACAUGAUGAAACUAGCAUGGCAGAAAUUCCCGUGUGUCCUCGGGAGCGUUUUUCCUCGUAUAAGAAUUUGUUCAGGCUUGUCCCUUGCUAUAAAAGGGAUUGGGCCACUAGCUGCACCAUUGCUACUACUUGUUACUUGUUACUCUUUGCUUGCUACGUUUCACCUCGCUACACAAUCACUUGUUACCGCUACUUUCAGUGCUUGCAGUUAUUACCUUGCUGAAAUCCGUUUAUGAGACCCUUUUGCUCCUCGUUGGGUUCGACACUCUUACUUAUCGAAAGGACUACGAUUGAACCCCUAUACUUGUGGAUCAUCAAGACUCUUUUCUGGCACCGUUGCCGGGGAGUGAAGUGCCUUUGGUAAGUGGAAAUUGGUAAGGAAACAUUUAUAUACUGUGCUGAAAUUUAUUGUCACUUGUCUCUAUGGAAACUCUUCCUUUGAGGAGUUUGUUCGGGGUAUCUUCACCACGAACGGAAGCACGAGGAGUUUCUCCUCAACCGGAGGUACCUACAGAAAAUAUCUUUUAUGAAAUUCCUUUGGGUAUGCUUGAGAAACUGCGGCUAAUCCUUUUACACGAGAUGGAUCUUCACAUCCAGACUUUCAUCUAAUCUAUGUAGAUGAAGUUUGUGGUUUAUUUAAGCUUGCAGGUUUGCCCAAGGAUGAGGUAAAGAAGAAAGUCUUUCCUUUAUCUUUGAAGGAUAAGGCGUUGACAUGGUAUAGGCUAUGUGAUGAUGCUGGAUCAUGGGGCUACAAUCGGUUGAAAUUGUAAUUUCAUCAAAUGUUCUAUCCUAUGCAUUUAGUAGAUCGUGAUCGGAACUUUAUUUAUAACUUUUGGCCUCGUGAUAGGGAAAGCAUAGCUCAAGCUUGGGGAGGCUUAAAUCAAUGCUAUAUUCAUGCCCCAAUCAUGAGCUCUCGAGAGAAAUCAUCACUCAAAACUUUUAUGCUUGGCUUUCUCAUGAAGAUCGUACCAUGCUUGACACUUCUUGUGCCGGUUCUUUAUGAAGAAGGAUAUUGAUCACAAGUGAAAUUUAUUGGAGAGAAUCAAACACAACUCUGAAGAUUGGGAGCUGGAGGAAGGUAAGGACUCAGGUAUGAAUUUCCAGUUUGAUUGUGUUAAAUCUUUUGUUGAGACAAACACUUCUAGAGAUUUUAGCGCUAAGUAUGGACUUGACUCUGAGAUAGUAGCUUCUCUAUGUGAAUCUUUUGCUGCUCAUGUUGAUCUUCCCAAAGAGAAGUGGUUUAAAUAUCGUCCUCGUGUAGAAAGCAACAUAGCCAAAACCAAUCUAGUUGAGGAGAAAAUCAUAGCUUUUAGUGAUCCUGUUGUUCCUUGUGCUUACACUGAGAAACCACCAUACCCUGCUAGGAUGAAGGACUAUUCUAAAGCUCCAACUGUGAUACGUAGGGGUUACAUUAGACCACUUGCACCCCCCGAGGAGAUUAGAGUUGAACCUAGUGUUGCUAUUAUCAAAGAUCUCUUAGCCGAAGACAUAGACAGGCAUGUUAUUAAAUUCUGUGAGGACUCCGCUAGAAUUGCUAAACCUCACGUGAAAGACAAGCACGGACCUGUAGUUGGCCUGCCCGUUGUUUCUGUUAAGAUAAGAGAUCACUGUUAUCAUGGUUUAUGUGAUAUGAGAGCUAGUGUUAGUGCAAUACCCCGUUCUCUCUAUGAUGAAAUCAAAGAUGAGAUUGCACCUGCUGAGUUACAACCCAUUGAUGUCACUAUUACGUUAGCUAAUAGAGACACUAUCUGCCCUCUGGGAAUUGUGGGAGACGUAGAAGUCCUGUGUGGUAAGACGAAGUAUCCUACUGAUUUCCUCGUCCUUGGUACUGCACAAGAUAGCUUUUGUCCCAUCAUAUUUGGUAGACCCUUUCUCAACACUGUCAAUGCUCACAUUGAUUGCAUUAAGCAGACUGCCACAGUAAGUUUUGAGGGUGUGCCUCAUGAAUUUAACUUCUCCAAGUUUGGAAGACAACCCCAUGAAAGAGAGUCGUCUGGUAGAGAUGAAAUCAUUGCUCUUGCCUCUAUUUCCGUACCUCCUACGGAUCCUUUAGAGCAAUAUCUUCUUGAGCAUGAAAAUGAUAUGCAUAUGGAGGAGAGAGAUGAGAUAGAUAGAAUUGUCUUAGAACAAUAUCCUAUUCUCAAGAAUAAUCUGCCUGUUGAACUGCUUGGGGAUCCUCCCCCACCAAAGGGAGAUCCUGUGUUCGAGCUUAAACAGUUGCCUGAUACUCUUAAGUAUGCCUGUCUUGAUGAGAAGGAGAUAUAUCCUGUCAUUAUUAGUGCUCUCCUCUCAGAGCGCGAAGAGAAGAAGUUACUAAAAACUCUGAAGAAGCACCGCGCUGCUAUUGGAUAUACUCUUGAUGAUCUUAAGGGUAUUGGUCCUACUCUAUGUCAGCACAAGAUUAAAACCGAUCCUGACUUUAAGCCAGUUGCUGAUCAUCAAAGGAGAUUAAAUCCUAAGAUAAAAGAGGUCGUUACAAAAGAAAUAUUAAAGCUUAUGGAAGCAGGAAUCAUUUAUCCUGUUGCUCAUAGUGAUUGGGUAAGUCCAGUACAUUGCCUACCUAAGAAGGGAGGUAUCACCGUCGUUCCUAAUGAUAAGGAUGAACUAAUCCCACAAAGUAUUAUUACCGGCUAUAGAAUGGUGAUAGACUUCCGGAAACUGAACAAGGCAACCAGGAAAGAUCAUUAUCCUUUGUCGUUCAUCGACCAAAUGCUAGAAAGGUUAUCAAAACACACACACUUCUGCUUUCUAGACGGUUAUUCAGGUUUCUCGCAAAUACCCGUUGCACAGUCUGAUCAAGAGAAAACCACUUUCACCUGCCCUUUCGGUACCUUUGCCUAUAGAUGUAUGCCUUUUGGCUUAUGUAAUGCACCCGCCACCUUCCAAAGAUGUAUGAUGGCUAUAUUCUCUGACUUUUGUGAAAAGAUUGUCGAGGUUUUCAUGGAUGACUUCUCUGUUUACGGGUCUUCCUUUGAUGAUUGCCUCAGCAACCUUAAUCGAGUCUUACAGAGAUGCGAAGAAACCAACCUCGUCUUGAAUUGGGAGAAGUGCCACUUUAUGGUUAAUGAAGGUAUCGUCUUAGGACACAAAAUCUCUGAAAGAGGCAUUGAAGUUGAUAAGGCUAAGGUUGAUGCAAUUGAGAAAAUGCCUUGCCCCACAGAUAUCAGAGGUAUACGAAGUUUCUUAGGUCAUGCUGGUUUCUAUAGAAGGUUCAUUAAAGACUUUUCUAAGAUUUCUAGGCCUCUUACCAACCUCUUGCAGAAGGAUGUUCCUUUUGUUUUUGAUGAGGAUUGUGAGGAAGCCUUCGAAAUACUUAAGAAGGCUUUGAUAACCGCACCUAUUGUUCAACCACCUGACUGGAACUUGCCCUUUGAAAUCAUGUGUGACGCUAGUGAUUAUGCUGUUGGUGCUGUUGUAGGACAAAGAGUUGACAAGAAGUUGAAUGUCAUUCACUACGCUAGUAAAACUCUAGACAGUGCCCAAAGAAACUAUGCCACUACGGAGAAGGAAUUUUUAGCAGUCGUGUUUGCAUGUGAAAAGUUCAGAUCUUACAUAGUUGACUCCAAAGUCACUAUUCAUUCUGAUCAUGUUGCUAUUAAGUACCUUAUGCAGAAGAAGGACGCUAGGCCUAGGCUGAUCAGAUGGGUUCUCCUGCUACAGGAAUUUGAUUUGCACGUCGUUGACCGAAAAGGUGCGGAUAACCUUGUAGCAGAUAACUUGUCUAGGCUAGAGAAUGUCCUUGAUGACCCACUACCAAUUGAUGACAGCUUUCCUGAUGAGCAAUUAAAUGUCAUCCGCACUUCACUUAGUGCACCGUGGUAUGCCGAUUAUGCAAACUAUAUCAUAGCCAAAUACAUACCACCCAGUUUCACCUAUCAACAAAAGAAGAAAUUCUUCUUUGAUUUGAGACACUAAUUUUGGGAUGAUCCUCACCUUUAUAAGGAAGGAGUAGAUGGUGUUAUUAGACGUUGUGUGCCUGAACAUGAACAGGGACAGAUCCUGUAGAAGUGUCAUUCCGAAGCCUACGGAGGACACCAUGCUGGAGAUAGAACUGCCCACAAGGUAUUGCAAUCAGGUUUCUAUUGGCCCACUCUCUUCAAGGAUGCUCGUAAGUUUGUCUUAUCUUGUGACGAAUGCCAAAGGAUAGGGAACAUUAGUAAGCGUCAAUAGAUGCAUAUGAACUAUUCACUUGUCAUUGAACCAUUUGAUGUCUGGGGCUUUGAUUAUAUGGGACCCUUCCCGAGUUCCAAUGGGUACACUCACAUCUUAGUUGCUGUGGAUUACGUUACUAAGUGGGUAGAAGCUAUCCCCACUAAAAAUGUUGAUCACCACACCUCUAUUAAGAUGCUUAAAGAAGUCAUAUUCCCAAGAUUUGGAUUCCCUAGAUACUUGAUGACUGAUGGUGGUUCACACUUCAUUCAUGGUGUUUUCCGCAAGAUGCUAGCUAAGUAUGAUGUCAACCAUAGAGUUGCAUCUCCUUAUCAUCCUCAGUCUAGUGGUCAAGUGGAGUUGAGUAAUAGGGAGAUCAAGUUGAUCCUACAAAAGACCGUCAAUAGAUCUCGAAAGAACUGGUCUAGCAAACUUGACGAUGCACUAUGGGCUUAUAGGACUGCUUAUAAGAAUCCCAUGGGCAUGUCACCGUAUAAAAUGGUUUACGGUAAGGCCUGUCAUUUACCUCUUGCGUUGGAACACAAAGCUUAUUGGGCAAUCAAAGAGCUCAACUUUGAUUUCAAACUUGCCGGUUAGAAGCAGUUGUUUGAUAUCAGCUCGUUAGAUGAAUGGAGAGCCCAGGCAUAUGAGAAUGCCAGGUUGUUCAAGGAAAAGGUUAAGAGAUGGUACGACAAACGAAUACAGAAACGAGAGUUCAAUGUAGGUGAUUAUGUCUUGCUAUACAAUUCUCGUUUGAGAUUCUUUGCAGGCAAGCUUCUCUCUAAAUGGGAAGGUCCCUAUGUUGUCGAGGAAGUAUAUCGUUCCGGUGCCAUCAAAAUCAAUAACACGGAAGGAAAUUUUCCUAGAGUGGUAAAUGGGCAAAGAAUCAAGCAUUACAUCUCUGGUACUCCCAUAAAUGUUGAGACCAAUAUCAUCAAUGUCAUAACUCCAGAGGAGUACAUAAGGGAUGUUUAUCAGCCUGUUUCAGACCUUGAAAACGAAGAUGUAUCUGUUUCGCAAGAAAUUGUACUCCGAUACUUUUCCAAUAGAAAAUUUCCUCAGUUUUGGAAUUUUUGGAAAAUUAGAAAAAUAAAAAUAAGUCCGGAGAGCAAACGAGGAAGCCACAAGGGCCCACUCCGCCACCACCCCCUGGUGGCGGUGGGCAAGCUUGUGGGCACCUCGUAUGCCUCCCGGACUCCGUUUUCUUGCGGAGGACUCCUUCUGGCCCAGAAAAAAAAUCAAUAUAUAGUUGCCCGAAGGUUUUGAUCUCCGUAUCACGUAGUUUUCCUCUGUUUUUGUUUCGAGCUUGUUGUCUGCCGCAGAUUUAGAGAAAAGAUGUCUCAGGAAUCUGUUGGGGAGAAUGAUCUUCACCAAGUUCAUGAGGAAGUAGAUGCUGAUCUGAAAAGAGUAGAAGUUACAGAAGCCAGGGACCAAGCUAAGGAUAAAACCCAAGCUAGGGAGGAAGUUCAACCUAUGUCAACAUUGAAGACGUUGAAGGAGUAGACUUUCUCCAACCCUUCCUCCACAUGCUGUCUCCAUCCUUGAUUGAAGUCUUGAGGUUUUGCAAAACAACUCGUGCUCACAAUAUUUAUCUUUCUCGUGAAGUUGUUUUGCUGGAAAACCAUGUCACAGAUCUCAAAGGUAUAAAUCAAAGGUUGAUAGCUUUCUUGGAAUCAAAGGCGACAACAACACCACCAUCACCACCAAAGGAAGACAACUAAGCAUUGGUAUGGGCAAUCCCCUUCGCUUCUGCCAAGCUUGGGGGAGUUGCCCUGGUAUCGUAUCACCUUUAUAUCUUUUGCUUUUACCUUUGUUUUAGUUCUUUCCUUUUCAGUUUUUAUUUCUUCUUUUAGAGGAAUAAGUCUUUAGUUUGUAGUUUGAGUCUUUUGCUUUUGUCUCUCCCCCGAUGUAUUCGAGCUUACGAGCUAUAUAAUAAAGAGUGUCUUAGUCAAGGGCUUUGCUUUGUGCCAUGAUCAAAGAGUAUGAAAAGAAUGAUAGCAUGAAAGAUCAUGAGACGAUCUUAUGGAAAGUGAUAACUUCACUUAUGACAUGUAUGAUGAUUGAAACGUGUUGAGAAUAAAUCAACAUAGACAUUAGUCAUUGUUGCAAUUAAUAAGAAGUAAUAAGGAAAGAGUGGUCCACAUAUAAAUAUAUCAUCUUAGACACUUUUUACAAUUGUGAGCACUCACCAAACUAUUACAUUCCUAGGAGUAGAUGUUGAACAAGGAAGACAACAUAAUGAAUUGUGUUUGCUUGGUUCCAAACAAUGUUAUAUGAUUAGAGAUCCCUUAGCAUGUGACGAUUGCUUCCACCUCAUAUUAGCCAAAACCCCCGCACCAAGUAGAGAUACUACUUGUGCAUCCAUAAACCUCAAACCAGUUUUGCCAUGAGAGUCCACCAUACCUACCUAUGGAUUGAAUAAGAUCCUUCAAGUAAGUUGUCAUCGGUGCAAGCAAUAAAAAUUGCUCUCUAAUAUGUAUGAUCUAUUAGUGUGUGGAAAAUAAGCUUUGUACGAACCUGUGAUGAGGAAGACAUAAAAGCGACAGACUGCAUAAUAAAGUUCUUUGUCACAUGAGGCAAUAUAAAGUGACGUUUCUCCGCACUAAGAGGACAUGCAUCCAAACCUCAAAAGCGCAUGACAACCUCUGCUUCCCUCUGCGAAGGGCCUAUAUUGUACCUUUACUUUUUACCCUUGUAAGAGUCAUGGUGAUCAUCACCAAUUCCCUUUUUGCCCUUGUCUUGGCUACCGUCACAUUCUUGGGAAAGAUCUAUAUUCAUAUAUCAACUUGGAGUUGAGUACUCAUGCUUUAUUAUUGUUGACUUUACCCUUGAGGUAAACCGUUGGGAGACAAAACUAUAAGACCAUAUCUUCCUCUGUGUGUAGCUGAAGCUUUGACACCAUGAGUACCACGUGAGUUAUAACAAUUGUGGAAAAUAAAAGAGAUGAUUGAGUAUGUGGGUUUGCCUUACUAGCUCUUAUUUGACUCUUUCUGAUGUUGUGAUAAAUUGCAAUUGCUUCAGUGACUAUUGAUUAUUGUUGGUUACUUCUCGGUAAGGUUUUUGCUUCAUGCUUUGCUUUGUGAAGGAAUUGUUACUUUCCCAUAAGAAUAUUUAUGAUAUAUUAAUGUUCUAUGUGUGAUCAUGAUGCCCUCAUGUUCGUAUUAUGUUUUAUCGACACCUUCGUCCCUCAACAUGUGGACAUGUUUAUGGAACUUGGUUUUCGCUUGAGCACAAGCGAGGUCUAAGCUUGGGGGAGUUGAUACGUCCAUUUUGCAUCAUGCUUUCAUGUUGAUAUUUAUUGCUUCUUGGGCUGUUAUAUUACUUGUGGUACCAUAUUUAUGCCUUUUCUCUCUUAUUUUGCAAGGUUUAUUUGAAGAGGGAGAAUUCAGGCAACUGGAAUUCUGGACUGGAAAAGGAGCAAAUCCUAGUCCACUAUUCUGCACAUCUCCAAAUGCCCUAAAAAUUUACGUGGAUUUUUUUUGGAAUAUAUUAAAAAAUACUGGGCGACAGAACUACUGGAGGGGGCCACCACGGCCCCACAAGCUUGCCCACCGCCACCACCCCCAUGGUGGUGCAGGGCAGGCUUGUGGGCUGCGUGAAGGCCCACUAGCCCCCCUCUUUUUUUUAUAUGAAGCGUCCUGGUCUGGAAAAAAAUCAAUAGGGAGCUUUUUCGUGGUUUCGCCGCCGCCACGAGGCGGAACUUGAGCAGAUCCAAUCUAGAGCUCCAGGAGGACGAUCCUGUCGGGGAAAUUUCCCUCACGGAGGGGGGAAUCGUCGCCAUCGUCAUCACCAACACUCCUCUCGUCGGAGGGGAGGCAGCUUCAUCAAUAUCUUCACCAGCACCAUCUCCUCUCCAAUCACUAGUUCAUCUCUUGUAACCAAUCUUCGUCUCGCAACUCAGAUUGGUACUUGUAAGGUUGCUAGUAGUGUUGAUUACUCUUUGUAGUUGAUGCUAGUUGGAUUACUUGGUGGAAGAGUUUAUGUUCAGAUCCUUGAUGCUAUUCAUUAUACCUCUGGUCAUGAUUAUGAUUAUGUCUUGUGAGUAGUUACUUUUGUUCCUGAGGACAUGGGAUAAGUCAUGCUGAUAAUAGUCAUGUGAAUUUGAUAUUUGUUCGGUAUUUUGAUAUGUUGUAUGUUGUUUUUCCUCUAGUGGUGUUAUGUGAACGUCGACUACAUAACACUUCACCAUAUUUAGGCCUAGAGGAAGGCAUUGUGAAGUAGUAAGUAGAUGAUGGGUUGCUGGAGUGACAGAAGCUUAAACCCCAGUCUAUGCGUUGCUUCGUGAGGGGCUGAUUUGGAUCCAGUAGUUUAAUGCUAUGGUUAGACUUUGUCUUAAUUCUUCUUUUGUAGUUGCGGAUGCUUGCGAGAGAGGUUAAUCAUAAGCGGGAUGCUUGUCCAAGUAAGGGCAGUACCCAAGCGUCGGUCCACCCACAUAUCAAACUAUCAAAGUAACGAACGCGAAUCAUAUGAACAUGAUGAAACUAGCAUGACAGAAAUUCCCGUGUGUCCUCGGGAGCGUUUUUCCUCCUAUAAGACUUUGUUCAGGCUUGUCCCUUGCUACAAAAGGGAUAGGGCCACUUGCUGCACCAUUGCUACUACUUGUUACUUGUUCCUCUUUGCUUGCUACGUUUCACCUUGCUACACAAUCACUUGUUACCGCUACUUUCAGUGCUUGCAGUUAUUACCUUGCUGAAAUCCGUUUAUCAGAGCCUUCUGCUCCUCGUUGGGUUCGACACUCUUACUUAUCAAAAGGACUACGAUUGAUCCCCUAUACUUGUGGGUCAUCAGUAUGGUUGGUCUUCAUUCACUUUUCUCUUGAACUUCAAAAAUUUCAGCAAAAGGAAAUUAUGUUCAGGAGGAAGUUUUAUGGUGGUUCCUCAAGUAAGAAGGGUCCCCCUCUUUCUUUUCGGGAGCCCGAACCUUUUCAACUAAGGGACGCACCGGUACAACCAUCUGAAUGGCCUUCCGAUGAGUUCAUGAUUGAAGCAGGUUUCAAGGAUGAGUUUGAUACACUUGUCCGCAAUGCCGGGUUAGAAGAAUUCCUCUCAGAUAAGUGUGAACAGUAUGCUAUGCUCACUGCCUCUUUCGUGCGUAGAUUUAAAUUUUCAGUUGGCCGUGACUCAUCCAUACUGUUUGAUCUGUACGAUAAAUCUUAUACCGUGGAUUUGGAGGAUUUCAAUAGGAUUUGCAAGAUACCCGAUGGGGGUAGUAUUAAUGAUCCUUCUAAAUCUUCGGUCAGAGACUUUGUCUCUAGUAUAACUGUUGGAGAAACCAGAGAUAUCAUGCAAGCCACCAUAGGAAGCAUCCAUUUCCCUACCUUGCACUACCUUUCCCUCUUCAUAGGUAGGUGCAUUAACGGCAAGGGUGCACAUUGUCACCUAUGCGCUUCGGACCUUAGUAUCCUUAAGAGCGCAGUAACAGGUGACAGGCACUACAGGAAUCAACUUCUUUGCCGUCUGCCAUCACGGACGGCAAAGAGUAAAUCCCGGACAGCAAAGAGAAUAUCACAGACGGCAAAGAAUCUCACGGCCGACAAAAUUUCUGCGUCAGCCUACGACGGCAUCGUACCUUCUUUGCCGUCUGUCUCCCCAAAGCGGGCGACAAAGAGCUUUGCCGUCAGCUUUUCAUAGGAGCAGUUGGCAAAGUGAUCGAGACGGCAGCCAACAGGCGUUGCCUCCGUUAGGGGCUAACGGAGGCUUUGCCGUCUGCCUCCCCCUCUUCUUUGCCGUCUACCUCCCCCCCUCUUCUUUGCCGUCUGCCUCCCCCCUCUUCUUUGUUGUCUGCCUCCUCCUCCCCCCUCCACUCUUUGCCGUCUGCCUACCCCUCCCCCCUCCUCCGUGCCCUCUUCUUUGCCGUCUGCCCCCCUGGAAGCAGACGACAAAGAUACUAUAUGGCCAGCUACUACUGCCCAGGUUGCACAGCUGGGCGCCACGUGGCACCUUUGCCGUCGGCCAGCUGAUGGCAAAGGCCUUUGCCAUCAGCUAGCAGACGGAAAAGAGCCUAUAUUGUCACAUUUUUGUUUAUUUUUUCUAUUUCACAGCACAUAUACAUAUAAUUCAUAGCACAUAUAUGAUAAAUAGGUCACAACACAUAUAUGAUAUACAUAUAAAGCUCAUCAAUGCCAUUUGUUCAUCAACGUACAUCCCAUAUAUCAAAAGAACCAACACAUACAAAGUUUCAUCCAUAUAUACAUACAUAUAGUUGCACAUAUAUUGUUCAUCCAUAUAUACAUAUACAUAUAGUUCCACAUUGUUCAUCAACUCAAAUAAAAACGGAAACUAAAGCACUCCAAUGCCAGCUUCCAUGCAUGUAGUACAUCCAAUCUGCAAAAUGGGAAUAAGAAAGUAAGAAGAAGAAGAACAACAACAUAUAUAUGAAAAAUAAGCUAAAUUGAAGAAGAAAGAUAAGAAGGAAGAAGAGAACAAGGAGAAGAAAAACAAGAAGGAGGAGGAGGAGGAGGAGGAGGAGGGGAAGGGGAAGGAGAAGGAUAAGGAGGAGGAGAAGAAGAAAAAUAAGAGAAGGAGAAGGAGAAGGAGGAGGAGGAGAAGGAGGAGAGAAGAAGAAGGAGAAGAAGGAGGGCUAUUUCUUCUUCUUCUCCUCCUUCUCCUUCUUCUUCUCUUCUUCUCCUCCUCCUCCUUCUUCUUCUCCUUCUCCUUUUCCUUCUCUUCUUCUCUUCUUCUUCUUCUUCUUCCUUCUUUUCAUUUCUCCUAUUCUCCUCUUCUUGGAGCUAAAUUAGCUAACUAUAUAAUAUUAAUGAGCUAACCAAGGUUCUUAUGCCAUUUUGAGCUUAUAAUGUCUUUUAGGAGCUAAAUUGGCUAAUUAUAUCAUUGUUGGGGAAAUUAAGGAAGGAGAAUAUGAAAUAGGAGAAGAAAGAGGAGGAGGAGGAGAAGAAGAAGAAAUAAAGAAGAAGGAGGAGAAGGAGGAGGAGGAGGAGAAGGACUAGAAGGUCCUUGGCCUUCUCCUCUUUCUCCUCCUCCUCCUCCUCCUUCUCCUUCUUCUCUUCUUCUGCUUCUUCUUUCUUUUCAUUUUUCCUAUUUCUUCUCCUCUUCUCCUCUUGUUGGAGCUAAAUUAGCUAACUAUGUCUUUUUGGAGCUAAAUGGGCUAAUUAUCUCAUUUUAGAGGAAAACAAGCUAAGUAUAUAAUAUUAAUGAGCUAACCAAGGUUCUUAUGCCAUUUUGAGCUUAUUAUGGCAUUUUGGAGCUAAAUGGGUAAUUAUGUCAUUGUUGGGGAAAUUAAGGCAAGGAGAAUAUGAAAGAGGAGAAGAAAUAGGAGGAGGAGGAGAAGAAGAAGAAAUAAAGAAGAAGGAGGAGAAGGAGGAGGAGGAGGAGGAGGAGAAGGACUAGAAGGUCCUUAGGCCUUCUCCUCCUUCUCCUCCUCCUACUUCUUCUCUUGUUCUUCUUCUUCUUUCUUUUGAUUUUUCCUAUUUCUUCUCCUCUUCUUGGAGAUAAAUUAGCUAACUAUGUCUUUUUGGAGCUAAAUGGGCUAAUUAUGUCAUUGUUGGGGAAAUUAAGGCAAGGAGAAUAUGAAAGAGGAGAAGAGAAACUUACCGUAGUGGUCAUCAAGGAGGAGAAACACCUGGAGAAGGGUCGUGCAAUUUUCGCUCGAGAGUUAUUCUACACAAUAGAUAUUUUGCAAUGUCUCAGUUAGCAUGAUGACACUCAAUUAUUAAUACUAGUUUAUAAUGAAACUCACCGUGCCAAUCGAAGAGAAGACGGGCAUCGACGGAGGGACUUGACCGCUCUUCUCGCACAGACCCAGAAGAGUGGGUCGUAUUAGUUAGUAAUGAAACAAACAUUACACACAUGAUUUGGCUAAUGUGAAAAAAACUUACCACAAAAAGCUCGUACGGGGCCCGUUCACCCGCCUCAUUCUGAGACCUCUCCUCCUCAAUCAAUCAUGCCGUGGUCUGGUCCCUCUCAUCAAGAGCAGCCUGACUUGCCAAUCUCUCUUUCUCAAGAGCAGCCUCAAGAGCAGCCUGGCUUGCCAAUCUCUCUUUCUCAAGAGUAGCCUGGUUUUCCAAUCUCUCUUUCUGAAGAGCAGCCUGAAACACCAUUCCUCGUUACCACAGUAAUGAUCUAUGGUGACACACAUAAUGAAAUGGAUGAAAGUGUUCUUAGUCCUUACAACUAACCUCAAUGGCAAGAUCGACUGUCCGUGGACGAGCAUUAUCUCAGGACAGCUGCUCGACUGGCGCGCCUUGAUCUCCGGGAGAGUGAGUGGACAACGUAUUAUCCCAUCUCCAAUGGUUAUCGAUCCAUGGGGCCUCCCGCCACCAGAUAUCAUCACCAGCUCUGGAUCCAAAGGUUCCUGGCUAGGGUUAGAGUCAUCCCCUUCCGUAGCCUUCCCCGCAUCCCUGUAUGCCACGAGCUUCUGGUAGGAUGAUAUGUUGGUGAAGUUAUUGGGAUCAUCCAGGUCAGACUCAGAGAAUGCCUUCUCCUUCUUGUACGAGGCAGUAUGGGCCAUGCCAUAAAGGUCGUACAAGUGUGGCAUCUCCGUCUUAUUGUGAUGCGCCUAAAAGAGAGGAACAAAAUAUUAGCAUGAAGAAUGAAUUGCAUGAAUCAUGAAGCAAAUCACAUACCUAGUUUCGUCCGAACUGAAGUAAGUUGGCGCUGCCUUGAUGGUGUGGCACACCAACCAUUUGGCUACGCCGAUCCUUCGCAUUCUCGUGGACGGCUCACCAGCUGCCUGUGCACCACUCAUCAACCAACGCCUCCCAACAAUCCAUCUUAUCCGCACACCAUCUCGGGGGCACCUGUAAGUUAUUAGAAAGAAUUUUCAGCGCUACGCCUAUGAAUGAAAUCAAGAAAACUACGUAGAAGGACUUAAGAAUAGGUAAUUACCUUCAUGUAUUGCUCCUUCUUCAGAAACUUUCCACGACAAUCCUUCUUCUGCUUCUUAAUACCACAAGUGGCAUAGUAAUCUCGAAUAGCCUGCGGCCGAGCCUCGUGGCACAAGUUCUGUAGUAACCGCCUACACUCGGCCUCGAGAACCCUGGCCGCCUCCUCCUCAUAUCCAUUCUCACACCUAUAGAAGGUCUGCAAUCAAACGUGAAAACACCGAUUAGUACAAUAAUUAGCUAUAUUGUUAAUUUUAGAUUAUGUAAAAGGAUGAUUUACCCAAAAGCUCUUGAUCACCAUCUCGGCCCUUGUGUGGCACAAGACACCAUCUAUAAUCCCCUCCGGCGGGGCCUGCGCAGCCUGGUAGUGCUCCCAAGAAAAUCCUAGUGUAGGAACCUGACCCUCACCAGGCAACGUGACAAACCCCGGGAAAUUUGUCCGGAAAAGCACACCAAGGACGGAGUUCGGCCUGCGGACUCCAAGAGGGGGUACCCAUCCUCUGCAGUAUGAUAAGGUCAACGCAUUAGAUAUUUGAAGAAACUUGAAGGCAAAAGCUAAAAAAAGAGUAACUAUACUUACCUAUCUCCUUCAGGUUUAAUCACCGGCCUCUGCUCGCGGGUAGCCGACGCGACCGGGAGACGUGUACUACCACGCUUGUACACGGUGGCCCCGUCCACCUGCCCAUCGCCCUCACUAUCCGUAAGCUCAUCCCCGCCAUCCCCGCCCCCUGAGCCACCCGGACCCUCCGUCCAAUCCGGCAACUCGGUACGAUCCGGCCAGGUCUCCCAUCUGGGCCUCUCCACGUCGGGUGAAGCCUCCGGAACCGUAGUCUCGUGGGCGGAAUGCACCUCGACCCGAGGCUGCUCCUGGAUCGGAGUCUCAUGGGACGAACACCCGUCAACACCAGGCGCCUGGAACGGAGUUCCCGUAGCCUCCUCCGCAAACGGGUCGACCAUAGUACUCCUAUGCUCGGGUGAAUGAGCUGGUGGUGGUGGCGAGGACGGCUCAACAGUCCUCCUGGAUCUUCUGUGGCCACCACCUCUCCCUGUACCCUUCCCCUUCUUCCCUACCCGACCAACACCUCUCCAAGUGGGCAAUGCCACCGACGAAGAAGAACCCACGGGUGGUGUCGACAGACUGUCUGCCAAGGCUCUACGGAGAGAUAGGGGUGGAAGGGAAGUACCACCCCUCGUGCGGGGCGCUUGGGAAGAACCCGUUGAGCGAUCUGGACCAGCGCCCAUCAUCUUUCCACACCUGGUGACCUGCCAUGAUAAAGAUUAAAAGAAAUUAGUACAACAUAAAAAAAUUGAAUAACUUAUAUGAAUAAUAAUAUGUACAUGAAUAAUAAAGAUUAAAAAUAUAUAAUUUAAGUUGUGAAUCUUGCAAACUAAUAAUCAUCAUCAAUAAAUGCAUCAUCAUCAUCACUAUCACGCAUGUCUUCAUGAAUGACGUGCUCGUCGGGUUCAACGGCGUGAAGUUGUGAAAGGCCUUCCUUUUAUCGUUGAAGCAUUGACACGUCAUCCGCAUCAGUAACCUCUACGAGUUCCAGGUCUUCUGGUUCCGGCUCAGGGCUGGAGUCGGAUUUAUUGUCGCUGUCUACUUCCAUGUUCUUGGGUGAAGCACGACGGUUCUUGAAACGUUUCUUGGAAAGAUGUGUUUCUUGGAAGAAUUCUCCAUCAUAUGUGUCUGGGUUAAUGUGAGGUUCAUAAUCCUAUUCAUUUGGGAGAGGUGGUCUGACAUGUGGCGACACUUCAUAAACAACAUACCAACCUUCCAGAUUCUUAUCCAUUUGGCAUGCCCACGGUAGAUAGAAAACUUGGGUUGACUGUUGAGCUGUAAUAUAGACAUCGGGAACAUCUAAAUGGGUGUUUGGAUUGAUUUCGACUAGUCCUAUAUGUUCGUGAGUCCUUCUAGUCUUCUUCGGCUGGAACCAAUAACAUUUGAAGACUACGACGUUCGGUGGGUUUUCACCAUAGAAUUGAAGUUCAUAAAUUGCUUCAACUCUUCCAUAAUACUCGAUAACACCUUUGCCGAUAGUAGAGACACCACAUUUUGUAGAUUUCCGGUCGGGCAUAGAUAGCUCUUUGCCAAAGGUACGAAAGAGAUACCCGUUGAUGUUCUAUUUCUCAAAUGAACGGACCUUAUAGUCAAAACCAUUAGGGACUUGUCUCAAUUCGGCGUCCAUAGACUCUGAAUUAGCCUACAAGUUUAAUACGAAAUGAUUGUUGCAUUAGCCACAAGUUAGACCAAGAAAUGAAAAGGUCCAUUAUUGAUAAUUACCAUUUGUUUGAAACAAGACAUGAAAUCGGGAUAGCCGCCUCCCGUCUUUGACAGAAGCUCAUACUCUUCGACGGAAUCAUUUUCGAUCACCGCUCCAUCCGAGAAUUUGGCGACAUAACGACUGUUUGAAAUAUCCGGGAAUAAGAGUAGUUCAAAUGAAUUAGAAGUUACGGGAAAAUGUGCCGAGAACUCACUCGAUGUACGGCCGCACUUCUGUUAAGUUGUUGAAGAUAUACAACGAAAUGUUCCGGCAUUCUUCGACAUCCAACGUUAUUGGUUUCGAAGCACCGGCUGGUGCGAGCUUCCCUUUGAAUAGGCUGAGGUUGGACCCACCUUUUUUAGGGUCUGCAUCAUUGUGCUGAGGCUUCGGAUUAUGCAAAUGAUUAUUUUUAGCUUCGUAGUGUGCUGUCACAAAGUUUGCGACCUCCUCAGUAAUGAAUGCCUCACCAUCGAUGCUUCAAUUCUACGCUUAUUUUUACAAUUAGCUCGAAGGGUCUUCUGCAUCCUCUCAGUUGCAUAGCACCAACGAUCUUGCAUGGGCCCACCCAAUCUUGCCUCAGUCGGUAGAUGUAAAAUCAAAUGCUGCAUUGGAUUAAAGAAGCCUGGUGGAAAGAUCUUCUCUAACUUACACAACAACUCCGGUGCAAACUCCUCCAUGUCUUUUACCACGCCAGGCGACAAUUCUUUCACACAAAGAACACAGAAGAAAUAGCUCAGCUCCGCCAGUACUAGCCAUUCAUCCUCAGGAAUAAAGCCACGUAACAUCACCGACAUUACCCGCUCUAGCCAUAUGUGCCAAUCAUGACUCUAGAGACCAAAGAUUUUUAAUUUUUCAAGACUCGCUCCCCUCUUUAGAUUCGCUGCAUACCCAUCGGGAAACAUCAAGUGCAUUUUGACCCACAAGAUAAUUUCCCUCAUAGCUGGCCUUCCAAGAUUGAACCAGGCCUUUGGCUUCGACCACUUCUGCUUUCCUUUGCCUUCUCGCAUGUUUUGUAACGGUCUAUGACAUAGUGUCUCUUGAUCGACUCUAGCCUUAGUAUUAUCCUUUGUCUUCCCAUCUAUGUCGAACAAUGUACCAAAAAUAGCCUCUCCGAUAUUCUUUUUAGUGUGCAUCAUGUCGAUAUUGUGUGGAAGAAGGAGGUCUUUGAAGUAAGGCAGAUCCCAGAAGCAUGGCUUGUGAGUCCACGCAUGUUUUGAAUUAUACCCCUUGAAAUACCCUGGACGCUCUGGAUCAGGCUCGAGGGCGUUUAACUGAUCCAGGAUCUGUUGGCCUGUGAACGCAGGUGGUGCCAAGUUUUUGAUAACUUUACCUUUGGUAAAGUUCUUCUUGUCUUUUCUGAACUGAUGGUCAGGAUCGAGGAACUGUCUAUGCAAGUCAAAGCAAGAAUACUUCCGACCCUCCUACAACCGAUGAAACUGAAGAGCUGCCUUGCAUUGGGGCACGGGAACCUUCCAUGCACACACCAUCCAGAGAAUAGCGCAUACGCUGGCAAGUCAUGCAUAGAGUACAUGUACCACACAUGCAUUUUGAAGUUUUCUUUUCGAGCGGCAUCGUAUGUCUUGACCCCAUUAUCCCAAGCUUCUUCCAAUUCAUCCUUAAGUGCUUGCAGGUACACAUUCAUAUUCUUCCCCGGAUAAUUGGGCCCUGGAAUUACCAACGUCAGAAAUAUGUUCUUUCUUUGCAUAAUCUGCCCGGGGGGGGGGGGGGAGAUUGAGUGGAAUGACAAAUACAAGCCAACAACUGUAUUGGGUUGCCGUCAUGCCGAAGGGAUUAAAACCAUCUGUGGCGGCGCAGACUCGAGGAUUACUUGGAUCUGCCGCUUUAUCCUGAUGCAAUCCAUCGAAAUGUUUCCACGCUUCCCCAUCCGAUGUGUGUACCAUCAUCUUAUUCCCAUCCGCAUCUAGUUCGAUUCUUUUGCCCAAUUUGUGCCAUGUCAUCUGUCUGGCUGUCUCUUCGACCAUGAAAACACGUUGAAGUCUUGGUACGAUUGGCAUAUACCGAAGAACACUAACUGCGAUUUUGGUCUGCCUCUUCUCACCCAUACCGUUGUCUACCACAAGAUACGUGCAAGACUCGCAAUUGGGACAAUAGUCCAAGUGGGCAUACUCCUUCCUAAAUAAGACACAUCCUUUCUCACAUGCAUCUAUCUUCUCAUAGGGCAUCUUAAGUACACGAAGUAUUUUGUCCGACUGGUACAUGUUUGCAGGCAUGACAUGGCCUUUGGGUAGGAAGCGUCCAAAUAGUGUCAUCAUCGCGUCGUAGCAUUCUCUUCCCAAGUUGAACUGAGCCUUUAGAGCCAUUACUUGUGCAAUUGCAUCCAGCUGACAGAGCUCAGUGUGCUCAUGGAGAGGACAUUUUGAAGACUCCAACAUUUCAUAAAAGGCCGGUGCAGAUUCCUCCAUCUCAUCUUCCGAAUCCCGAGCAUCAUCAAAGUCUUGCACCAUGUCUUCGAUCCCGGUACCAUGCUCGUCCAUGCGACGACGGACCACCUCAGCUCUUGUGCGUUGUAUAGACUCACCAUGAAAUGUCCACACCGUAUAAUUAGGCUUAAAACCCCUCCUCUGCAGGUGUUUAGUCAUUACAGCCUCUGUUGUCUUUUUUAUAGUUGUCGCAUCCAGGACAGGGGCAAUAGUUUCUUUCCUGGCCAUUUGUGAAUGCGGCUUUCACAAAUUCCUUUGUUUUUACAAACCAUUCUUUCGUCAUCUCUUUCUGACUAGGGUGACCGGUAUACAUCCACGCACGAUUACUCAUCUUGCGUAGCUACUAAAGAUAGAAGAAAUAUAUUUAUAUAUAAUUUAGCAUUUAUAUUCAUCGGUUAAUCAGGUUCGCCAUUUUUAUUACGUCCAGGAAAUCUACACGCUAAUAGGUAAAGAUAGGUCCUAAUCCCACCCGAGUAUGUGUAGAUUGGGUUCGUUUUCCCAUGCUUUGCUCCGGAUCCAACGCAAAAUUUCGGCAGCACCUCCCCGCUGUUCUCCUGAUACACGUCUCCGCAAUAAACAGAGAGGAUGUGCAUCCGGAGAACAACAGGGAGGCACUGACAAAAUUCCACAUCGGAUCCAGAGCACAACAUACGGGAAAACGAACCCAAUCUACACAUACUCAGGUUGUCAAUGGAUAAUGUUGGACAAUUGGAAACGAUGGCGGUUAUAAAUAUGCAAAGACAUGCAUAUUUAUAGAUGUCGCCCUUUCGAACAGGAGACGCAUACUGGUCACGCAUACUGAUAAAUUAAUUUAAUUACCUAAAUCUAUAAAGUUUCAUCCGGAAACCGAGCCACAGUAAAUGAAGGGGCGGGGAGGAGAUGAAAUUUGUACUAACCCACGAAUGCAGGGGCGGAGCUCAUACAACGCACCGGCAGGUCUUCGCACAGCAGACCUCACAGCGACGAGACAACUAUCACAUGUAAAUCCACCCGAUCAACACAAAUAUUAUAAUUAUGUCAUUUUAGAGGAAAACAAGUUAAGAAUAUAAUAUUCAUGAGCUAACCAAGGUUUUUAUGCAAUUUUGUAGCUAAAUGGGCUAAUUAUCUCAUUGUUGGGGGAAAAUAAGGUCAGAAGAAUAAGAUAGGGGAGAAGAAAUAGGAGGAGGAUANNNNNNNNNNNNNNNNNNNNNNNNNNNNNNNNNNNNNNNNNNNNNNNNNNNNNNNNNNNNNNNNNNNNNNNNNNNNNNNNNNNNNNNNNNNNNNNNNNNNAAGACAUAGUUAGCUAAUUUAGCUCCAAGAAGAGGAGAAGAGGAGAAAUGAAAAGCAAGAACAAAAAUAAGAAGAGAAAGAGAAAGAGAAGGAGAAGGAGAAGGAGGAGGAGGAGAAGGAGAAGGAGGAGGAGGAGGAGGAGAAAGAGGAGAAGGCCAAGGACCUUCUAGUCCUUCUCCUCCUCCUCCUCCUUCUCCUCCUUCUUCUUUAUUUCUUCUUCUUCUCCUCCUCCUCCUCUUUCUUCUCCUAUUUCAUAUUCUCCUUGCCUUAAUUUCCCCAACAAUGACAUAAUUAGCCCAUUUAGCUCCAAAAUGCCAUAAUAACCUCAAAAUGGCAUAAGAACCUUGGUUAGCUCAUUAAUAUUAUAUACUUAGCUUGUUUUGCUCUAAAAUGGGAUAAUUAGCCCAUUUAGCUCCAAAAAGACAUAGUUAGCUAAUUUAGCUCCAAGAAGAGGAGAAGAGGAGAAGAAAUAGGAAAAAUGAAAAGAAAGAAGAAGAAGAAGAAGAAGAAGAAGAAGGAGAAGGAGGACGAGGAUGAGGUGAAGGAGGAGAAGGCCAAGGACCUUCUAGUCCUUCUCCUCCUCCUCCUCCNNNNNNNNNNNNNNNNNNNNNNNNNNNNNNNNNNNNNNNNNNNNNNNNNNNNNNNNNNNNNNNNNNNNNNNNNNNNNNNNNNNNNNNNNNNNNNNNNNNNCAACCGAGUGAAAAACGCACUGUGCGGCCAUGUGAUGAAGACACGCUCGGCGGAGUGACGGCGCGUGAGGCGGCCGAGUGAUGGAGACACGUCCAACCGAGCGGCGACAUGUGGGCGGACAAGUGAUGUAGACACGUCCAACAAAGUGGUGACGCGCGGGGCGUCCAUGUGAUGAAGACGCACUCGGAGGAGUGGCGAUGCGCGAGGCAUCUGAGUGAUGAAUACACAUCCAAAUGAGUGGCGACACACGAGGCGGCCAUGAGAUGAAGACACGCUCAGCGGAGUGACGACGCGCGAGGCAGUCGAGUGAUGGAGACACGUCCAAGCGAGGGGCAACGUGUUGGGUGCCCAAGUGAUGUAGGCGCAUCUAGCAGAGUGGCAAUGCGCGAGGUGGCCAUGUGAUGAAGACGCGCUUGGUGGAGUGGUGAUGCUUGAGUCAUGUGAGGGAUGAAGACACGUCCUGCUGAGUGGAGACCCACGGGGCGGCCAUGUAAUGAAGACACACUCAGCUGAGUGAGGGUGCGCAAGGCGGCGAGUGAUGGAGACGCGUCCAACCAAGUGGCGACGUGGUAGACAUGUGAGUGAUGAAGACGCGUACAACUGAGUGGCGAAACGCGGGGUGUCCAUGUGAUGAAGACGCUCUCGAAGGAGUGACGACGCGCUAGGCAUUAGAGUGAUGAAGACGCAUCCAGCUGAGUGGCGACGCGCGGGGCCGCCAUGUGAUGAAGACGCGCUCGAUGGAAUGAUGGCACGCAAGGUGGUCGAGUGAUGGAGAUGCGUACAACCGAGCGGCGACGUGCUAUGCGGUCAAGUGAUAUAGGCACGUCCAGCAGAGUGGUGACGUGCGGGGCAGCCAUGUGAUGAAGACGCUCCCGGCGGAGUGGCGAUGCGCGAGGCAUGUGAGUGAUGAAGAUGUGUCCAGCUGAGUGGCGACGCGCGGGGGCGUCCAUGUGAUGAAGACGUGCUUAGCAGAGUGAUGGCGCGCAAGGCGACCGAUNNNNNNNNNNNNNNNNNNNNNNNNNNNNNNNNNNNNNNNNNNNNNNNNNNNNNNNNNNNNNNNNNNNNNNNNNNNNNNNNNNNNNNNNNNNNNNNNNNNNACCCGACCGACCGUACCCGUCGGCGGCGGCGGUACGGGGCCCACGCCUAGCUAUGUCGUUCGUCGGGUCCCCCUGUCGUCCUCGUUUCGCCCUACCUCUUCCGACCUAUAAAUUCAAGAAAAAUUACCAAAAUUGCACGAGAGAUCCAAGAAAUUACUUUUCCGCUGCCGCACGCUUCUGUCUCCGCAAGAUCCCAUAUGGGGCACAUUCUGGUGCCCUGCCGGAGGGGGUAUUCGGAUACGGAGGGCUUCUUCAUCAACACCAUGACCUCUCCGAUGAUUCGUGAGUAGUUCACCAUAGACCUUCGAGUCCAUAGCUAGUAGCUAGAUGGCUUCUUCUCUCUCUUGGAUCUUCAAUACAAAGUUCUCCAUGAUCUUCAUGGAGACCUAUCCGAUGUAGUCUUCUUUGCGGUGUGUUUGUUGAGAUCCGAUGAAUUGUGGAUUUAUGAUCAGAUUAUCUAUGAAUCUUAUUUGAGUUUCUACUGAUCUCUUAUAUGCAUGAUUCCAUAUCCUUGUAAUUCUCUUCGAGUGGUGGGUUUUGUUUGGCCAACUUGAUCUAUGAUUCUUGCAAUGGGAGAAGUCCUUGGUUUUGGGUUCAUACCAUGCGGUGACCUCACCCAGUGACAGAUGGGGUAGAGAGGCACGCAUUGUGUUGUUGCCAUCAAGGGUAAAAAGAUGGGGUUUUCAUCAUUGGUUUGUGUUUAUCCCUCUACAUCAUGUCAUCUUGCUUAAAGCGUUACUCUGUUCGUCAUGAACUCAACGAGAUUAAUUGAAUCCUUGACAUAGAGGUUCAACUGAUAAAGAUCUUCGUAGAAUAUGUAGGAGCCAAUAUGGGCAUCCAGGUCCCGCUAUUGGUUAUUGGCCGUAGAGGUGUCUUGGUCAUGUCUGCAUAGUUCUCGAACCCGUAGGGUGUGCACACUUAAGGUUCGAUGACGUUUUGGUAUAGUUGAGUUAUAUGUGUUAGUAACCAGUGCGCUGGAUUCUUCUGAGGACCAAGUCUCUCUCUCUAAAAGAGAGAGGCUUGAUCUUUUUGCUGUGGUAGUAUCUCAACUUCUGUUGAUAGAUGGCCAUCCGGCUCAAGGCCAAGUCCCUUGCUUCUUCGAGGAGGUCCACACCGUCUUCUCUUGCCUCCAUAGCCUUUGUUUCUGUGUAUAGGGUGACCCGAGGCGAGUCGAACUCGAUAUCCGUGGGAAUAAUAGCCUCGGACCCGUAUACAAGAAAGAACGGAGUGAAGUCGGUCGACCGGUUGGGCGUGGUGCGGAGGCUCCAUAACACAGCCGACAGUUAUUCAAUCCAGCAGCUGGCGAAUCUGACCAGUGGUGCCACCAGUCUUUUCUUGAUGCCAGCUAGAAUCAGGCCGUUGGCCCUCUCUGCUUGGCCAUUCGACUGGGGAUGUGCCACUGACGUCUAAAUCGAGCCGGAUGCCUACCGUUGGAACGGUAGAGCGCCAGAGUGCCUUUGGCGAAGUUGGUGCUGUUGUCGGUGAUGAUGCUGUGGGGAACGGCCAUAUCGAACAGAGAUGUCCGUGAUGAACCUGACGGUUGUGGGGGNNNNNNNNNNNNNNNNNNNNNNNNNNNNNNNNNNNNNNNNNNNNNNNNNNNNNNNNNNNNNNNNNNNNNNNNNNNNNNNNNNNNNNNNNNNNNNNNNNNNUAUGAGCCAACGAAACCAUCAUUUAGGGUGCGCGCUUGAGCUUUCUGAUUCGCCCCAUCCUGUUGCGACCUUAUGAGCCGACGAAACCAUCAUUUCGGGUGCGCGCUUGAGCUUUCUGACUCGCCCCAUCCUGUCGCGACCUUAGAGCCGACGAAACCAUCAUCUAGGGUGGCACUUUAGCUUUCUGACUCGCCCCAUCCUGUCGCGACCUUAUGAGCCGACGAAACCAUCAUCUAGGGUGGCUCUUGAGCUUUCUGACUCGCCCCAUCCUGUCGCGACCUUAUGAGCCAACGAAACCAUCAUUUAGGGUGCGCGCUUGAGCUUUCUGACUCGCCCCACCUGUCGCGACCUUAUGAGCCGACGAAAUCAUCUGGGGUGCGCUUGAGCUUUCUGACUCGCCCCAUCCUGUCGCGACCUUAUGAGCCGACGAAAUUGUUAUUUUUUAUUUAUUUACCUUCCUGGCACUGCCACAAGGUUUUUCCAAACUUUUUCCUGAUUCAUCUUGAAAUAUUUUGGGUCGAUUGCUAUUUAUUAUCGCCCAUUACUCACUGAGGUGCUAGCCACCGUGACUCACUGAGCCGGCUUAUUUAAAAUAGCUUGAUGCCAUACUUAUCAUAUCAUAUACAUGCAUCAUCUUGCAUUGCAUCAUGCAUCAUACAUACAUAUCAUGCCGGUCUUCAAACCGGAUCAACGCAUAAAUUCUUGCAGGUGCAAAUAAAUCUUUGAAUAGCCAAUUUGGCUGGAUUUUCAUCAUGGUUUAUCAUAACCAGUGUUAAAUGAUUGUGGUUUUUAAGGCCAGCUCGGAAGAAUUGACUAUUGUCGAAGAGCCGCCCUAUCACAUAUAAUGCCGAGUCAUCUAAUUGACCGGCCCUUGGAUUUCUUCAACUUGUGCUCUGUAGUAGACUACAACACUUAUGGAUUUCUCAAACAUAUGGAUUUCUCAAAGGAUAUAUUUUCCGGGUUACAUUGCAAACCACGGUCGAGGAUUUCUUUUAUCACAAAGGCAUCAUCAGCUCACAGAUUGGAUAUGAUUUUAUUCUACAAUGGAAGGAAUAGCCCCGAGUCGCUACAGGCACGCAACCCGACACUCGGGGGCUACAUUAUUCAGAUCAAGAUUACAUCAAAGUAUGCAAGUCCCAUGUCGCUGCAAGCAUGCACCAUGACACUUGGGGGCUAAUGCAAUCCGCUUUUCAAAUGAUCACAUCAUCAACAGACCCGACUAUUUCAAGAAGAUAAGCCGGCCCUAGGGGGCUACAGGUCGCUCAUUGUUCAAGUAUGGAUUCUAGGAAGAUCCGGCCCAUCACACACUGAUAACCCGGCCCUUGGGGGCUACAGGUAACAUGGAUAUAUCAAAAAAUUGAAGAGCACAUUUCAUUGUGUCAUGGAGGUGAAGUAUUGGGAGACCGGUUCAGCAUAUUUUUAUGUAGUUGAAGCACCGAAAGACCGGCUCAACAUCAGACGGAUUUGUCAAUUGGAGUUCAGUUGUUUGACGGGGCACUACUAAUAAUGAUGACCCGCCAUUGUCAAUCAUGACCCGCCAUUGUCAAUCAUAACCCGCCGAAGCAAGAGAAGCUAGUUCAACAUUGUGUGGAUUUCUUAUUUCCCAAAUUUUCAUCAAGCCAAAGCAUUGGAGGCCGACUCAAUGGCAUAUGUAUUUUAUUGCAAAGGACAUGUCUCAACAAUGAGAUGAUUGAAGGCGGCUCGAAGAAACCCAGAUUUUUCAAGGAGCCACUUCAGUAAAUCAAGCCGGCCAGAGGAGCAAGCCGGUCCCUUAACUUAUUUAUUAUUCUUAUUUCAGGAGCUUACCAUGAAUAAAUUCAAGCUAACCUUGGGGGCUAAUGUCGGGGAUAUACCCCGCAGUGUAACCCGGCUUGGAGUAUGACCCGCCAAAGGACUUGGCGACUCANNNNNNNNNNNNNNNNNNNNNNNNNNNNNNNNNNNNNNNNNNNNNNNNNNNNNNNNNNNNNNNNNNNNNNNNNNNNNNNNNNNNNNNNNNNNNNNNNNNNUCACCGUUGCUAGCCUCUCUAGUGCCGCGCAACUUUCGCCAGUGCACAAAACCACCAUAUACCUUCCUCAAAACAGCCACCAUACCUACCUAUCAUGGCCUUUUCAUAGCCAUUCCGAGAUAUAUUGCCAUGAAACUCCCACCGUUCCGUCUCAUGACUUGUGCGGUAAGCUAGCGAGAUGUUUCAACGGCAUACGCUAAGCUAGAUCAUUGCACAUCCGGGUACACUGUCGGAGGCAUUUCCUAUAGAGUCAUCAUUGCUCUAAGUAUUGAGUUGUGAGUAAAUAAAAGUGUGAUGAUCAUCAUUAUUAGAGCAUUGUCCCAUGUGAGGAAAUAAAAAAGAAGAGGCCAAAGAUGCCCACCAAAAAAAUGAAAAGAGGCCAAAGAGCCCAAAAAAAGAGAGAGAAAAAGAGAGAAGGGACAAUGCUACUAUCUUUUUCCACACUUGUGCUUCAAAAUAGCACCAUGUUCUUCAUGAUUGAGAGUCUCUUGUUUUGUCACCUCCUUAUACUAGUGGGAAUCUUCAUUAUAUAACUUGGCUUGUAUAUUCCAAUGAUGGGCUUCCUCAAAAUUUCCCUAGGUCUUCGUGAGCAAGCAAGUUGGGUGCACACCCACUAGUUCUCCUUUUGAGCUUUCACUCACUUAUAGCUCUAAGUGCAUCCGUUGCAUGGUAACCCCUACUCAUUCACAUUGAUAUCUAUUGAUGGGCAUCUCCAUAGCCCUCUGAUACGCCGAUUCGAUGUGACCAUCUCCUUAUUUUUGCCUCACAACCUCAACCACACUCUAUUCCACCUAUAGUGCUAUAUCCAUGGAUCACGCUCAUGUAUUGCGUGAGAGUUGAAAAAGUUCGAGAAAGUAAGAGUGCGAAAACAAUUACUUGGCUAAUACCGGGGUUGUGCAUGAUUUAAAUUUGUUGUGUGGGGAUAAUGGAGCAUAGCCAUACUAUAUGAUUUUGUAGGGAUAACUUUCUUCGGCCUUGUUAUUUCGAAAGUUCAUGAUUACCUUGCUAGUUUGCUUGAAGUAUUAUUGUUUUCAUGUCAAUAGAAAACUAUUUUUUUGAAUCUUACGGAUCUGAACAUUCAUGUCACAUGAAAAGAAGUUACAAAGGACAAAUAUGUUAGGUAGCAUUCCACAUCAAAAAUUCAGUCUUUAUCACUUCCCUACUCGAGGACGAGCAGGAUUUAAGCUUGGGGAUGCUUGCUACGUCUCCAACGUAUCUAUAAUUUUUGAUGGUUCCAUGCUAUUAUAUUGUCAACUUUGGAUGUUUUGUAUGCAUUUUAUAUCUUCUUGGGACUAACCGAUUAACUCAGUGCCAAGUGCUAGUUCCUGUUUUUUCCGUGUUUUUGACCUUUUUCAGAGGAGAAUAUCAAACGGAGUCCAAACGGAAUAAAACCUCCGGAAAGAUUUUUUUCCCGAAACAGAAGAUACGCAGGGAACUUGAGAACCAAGGCAAAGGGCUCCGGGNNNNNNNNNNGAGGCCACAAGCCCCCUAGCCGCGGUCUGGGGGCACGCCUAGCAGGCUUGUGGGCCCCCCAUGGCUCCUUUGCCCUACCUCUUCCGCCUAUAAAUUACCUAAAAAUCUGAAACCACGGGAGAGAGCCACGAAAUACUUUUCCGCCGCCGCAAGCUUCUGUCUCCGCAAGAUCCCAUCUGGGGACCGUUCUGGUGCCUUGUUGGAGGGGGGUUCGGACACGGAGGGCUUCUUCAUCAACACCAUUGCUUCUCCGAUGGUGCGUGAGUAGUUCACCACACACCUUCGGGUCCAUAGCUAGUAGCUAGAUGGCUUCUUCUCUCUCUUGGAUCUUCAAUACAAAGUUCUCCAUNNNNNNNNNNGAUUAUCUAUGAAUCUUAUUUGAGUCUCCUCUGAUCUCUUAUAUGCAUGAUUUCAUAUCCUUGUAAUUCUCUUCGAGUUGUGGGUUUCGUNNNNNNNNNNGAUCUUCAUGGAGAUCUAUCCGAUGUAAUCCUAUUUUGUGGUGUGUUUAUCGAGAUCCGAUGAAUUGUGGAUUUAUGAUCAUAUUAUCUAUGAAUCUUAUUUGAGUCUCCUCUGAUCUCUUACAUGCAUGAUUUCAUAUCCUUGUAAUUCUCUUCGAGUUGUGGGUUUCGUUUGGCCAACUUGAUCUAUAAUUCUUGCAAUGGGAGAAGUGCUUUGGGUUCAUACCGUGCGGUGACCUCACCCAGUGACAGAAGGGCUAGCGAGGCACGCAUCAUGUUUUUGCCAUCAAGGGUAAAAAGAUGGGAUUUAUAUCUAUUGCAUGAAUUUAUCCCUCUACAUCAUGUCAUCUUGCUUAAGGCGUUACUCUGUUUGUUAUUAACUCAAUACACUAGAUGCAUGCUGGAUAGCGGUCGAUGUGUGGAGUANNNNNNNNNNGGUUUUGGGUUCAUACCGUGCGGUGACCUCAUCCAGUGACAGAAGGGGUAGCGAGGCACACAUCAUGUUGUUUCCAUCAAGGGUAAAAAUAUGGGGUUUAUAUCUAUUGCAUGAAUUUAUCCCUCCACAUCAUGUCAUCUUGCUUAAGGUGUUACUCUGUUUGUUAUGAACUCAAUACACUAAAUGCAUUUGGAUAGCAGUCGAUGUGUGGAGUAAUCGUAGUAGAUGCAAAAAGUAUUGGUCUACUUGUCUCGGACGUGAUGCCUAUAUGUAAUUCGUUCACCCACCGUAAUAUCGUCAUGACUUUGCGCGGUUCUAUCAAUUGCUCGACAGUAAUUCNNNNNNNNNNAUCGUAGUAGAUGCAGAAAGUAUCGGUCUACUUGUCUCAGACGUGAUGCCUAUAUGUAUGAUCAUUGCCUUAGAUAUCGUCAUGACUUUGCGCGGUUCUAUCAAUUGCUCGACAGUAAUUCGUUCACCCACCUUAAUAUUUGCUAUCUUGAGAGAAGCCUCUAGUGAACACUAUGGCCCCCGGGUCUACUUCACAUCAUAUUUUCUGCUCUACACUUUUACUUUGUUGCACUUUCCACCUUCAUAUCUCACCUUGCAGUUAACCGUGAAGGGAUUGACAACCCCUUUGUAGCGUUGGGUGCAAGUUUGCUUGUUUUGGGCAGGUACUUUGGAGACUUGCCUUGAUACUCCUACUAGAUUGAUACCUUGGUUCUCAAACUGAGGGAAAUACUUACUGCUACUGUGCUGCAUCACCCUUUCCUCUUCGAGGGAAAAACCAACGCAAGCUCAAGAGGUAGCAAGAAGNNNNNNNNNNNNNNNNNNNNNNNNNNNNNNNNNNNNNNNNNNNNNNNNNNNNNNNNNNNNNNNNNNNNNNNNNNNNNNNNNNNNNNNNNNNNNNNNNNNNUUGUCAAAGGGCUUUGCACCACCUACCCAUCAACACCAUUCACCAUGCCCACAAAAAAAGAGAAAAACUACUACAAUUCACCAUUGCUGACCCUGCUUAAAAUUGUCAACCAUCCCCGGGCACCACUUGGCACACAUGUUGCACGACAACAACCUCCUGCCAGAAAACCUAUCCACGAGCGGAAUUAUUCCAUCUGCACCUAGAUUAUUACACUUAGGAAUUAUGAGUCGUACGUGUGAGACUCCGACAUGACGGGGUCCAAACACCUGUAGAGGAAAUUCGGACAACCGGAUGUGUCCAUGGACUCGAUGAGGUAUCAUGUUACAUGACAAACAACAUUGGAAGAGCUUGGCCCGAAUGUAUGCGGGCAUUUUAGGGUCGGCGUUGGAGAUGCCCUUAUCGAGGGAGCUUUGCCUUUUCAUUAAUAAGAAGAAUAGAUCCAUCCAAAAAACAAAAAAAAGGUGAGAAAAACUAGUUACAAGCAAUUGCAGCCGAAUACACAUUUUUAAGGGGAGAAAAGACACUUUCUUACGGUCUUAAUUUGACUAUUAGCGAAAUGUUUAAUAAAAGGAAACGUUUACGAUCGACACGUUGGCCGAACGAUCCAGCCGGACGCGCGCUACGCGUAGGAUCCAUAUGGAUCGAACGCGUCCCAUGGGCCUCCCGCCCCCCGCUGCCCCCUUUUCCCCUUAUCCCCUUGUGUUGUUUCUGGCCAGAAAAAUGUCCCCACCGUGUUCGAUCCAUAUGGAUCCCUUCUGUUAUUUCUGCCCAGCUGUCCCUCUCCGUGCACAUCCCUAUCCAUUGGUCCUGCCCACCUCUUAUCUCUCUCUCCACCUCCCGCGUUUGUGUUGCACUGCUCCUUGCUCCUUUUUUUCUUCCUCGGAAACAUGCAGGCGGCACGAAGCCAUCCACCUCCUACAUGCUAUGUGCCGCAGUCGCCCAGUGCCAUAACUCCUCGUCCAUCAAAGCUGCCACGGCUGUCACCGGGUGCUGCAAGGGAGCAGACCAUGCGGGGGAUGCUCCAACACUUAGAAGGUGCUUGGAUCCAAAAGACUAAAACUAGUCUGACUAAAACUAGUCUCUUUAAGAGGCUAAAGUUCCAAGCACCCCUGACUAAAGAGAGACUAAAACUAGACUUGAGGCUAAAAUCUUUUAGUCAGGGAUACCCCUACUAAAAUGUGCAUUAGUCCUCUCUCUCCUCAUUUAACUCCUCAGGCAAGUUCUGGAUUGGAGGGUUUGAAGGAUAAUAAAUGUUUAUUAACUUGAUUUUAGUCUUUUUAGUACUUGAAUCCAAGCAUGGAUGAGGCUAGCAAGUUUUAGUCUCAUUACUUUUAGUCAUGGGACUAAAACAUAUCCAAGCACCCUCUUACUGGGGCGGGCGACAUGACCCAGCGGCAUCGUUUUGCUACAAACAACAAGGUGUUUUGUUGAACUAGCGACACCAAUUGCUGGAACCGUGCACACAGGAGCUGCAAACAUACACCCACGGACUGCACCUGCCGCCGACGAUGUCGGCGAAAAUGUUACAACCAUGUAUCAUGGAAGCUACAACCAUCUCUCGGAAAAAGCUACAACGAUGCACACGGGAGCUACAACCGGCAACGCCAUCGUCGGGAAAAUGCUUCAACCGUGUCCCGCACAAGCUACAUCCACAUACGUCACAGCUGCAAUCAUUUCGGUGUUGCUACAACAGUGUCACCAGAGCUACAACCGGCGACGUUGUCAUCACAAAAAUGCAUGAACCGUGUAGUGAAGAAGUUACAUCCAUGCGCAGCAGAGGUGCAAGCAUUUUGUGGCAACGCUACAGCCGUGUUGCCAGAGCUGCGAUGCAGGGCAAGCCAUGAUGCUGACGACCAUCGGUGUGUGGAGCUUCGCGACCAACGCCGCCGCUAUCAUGAUUCCCGUAUGAUGGAACCAAGCGGCAACAGAGUUACAACCUUGACAACAAAAACUAUUUUUGUAAAACCAGGAAGGAUGUGUUUCAAUCGCUACCGGUUAUGGAAGCGACAAGCCUGCCUGCGGUGUUGGUUCGAGGACUACAAGGCAGCAGCAACGGCAACGAGUUGUGGCGCGUGAGGUGGAUGUAGCCUACAACGCAGAAUAAGGACCCACGCAGGUCUAUUUCUGUUACGGGACGAAGCUAUUUGAAGAAGAAGAUAAGAUGACGUGGGUUGCAGGAUCGGGCGACUACAGAAUGCCUAAUAUGACACUGGCCGAACCCUUGGGCCGGUCCGCCGGCGCCUGCCGCCUAGCGAUCCCCUUUAAUAAAAGGUUUUCAGAGGGCUUCACACCAUCUACCCAUCAACACCAUUCACAAUUUCCCUAAAAAAACUACUACAAUUCACCGUUGCUGACCUUGUUUAAAACUGUCAGCCAUCCCCGACACCACUUAACACACGUGCUGCAGGUGCAGGACAGCAACCUCCUGCCAGAAAAUCUAUCCACGGAAUCUGCACCUAGUGUCAUACUCUCUGUGUAAAAAAAUAUAAGAGCAUUUAAAUCAUUACUUUAAUAAUCUAAACAUUUUUAUAUUUUUUUACGAAGGGAAUACUUAUAACCAUACGAACAUGAGGAAUACUUAUAACCAUACGAACAUGUCCAAUCAAUCAAUAAUCUACCGCUCGCCAUUGUUGACCCAAAACUGCCAACAAAACGGUCCCUCCCAACCACAUUGCAGUUGGCACAUGCUGGCCCGAGACGGCUAACCGCCAGGAUGCGUGCAGCUGCUUGUUGUUCCCUCCAAUAAUUGGAGCAGCAAACUUUACAGGAUCGAGAAAGGUUUUCCAAGCCAACAGCACGCGCUAUUCUUCUCACCACUUUUGUUAUCAUAGGUAUAUGAAUAAUGUAGCAUUCAUACAAAGCACAAGCCACUCGCUUUUCAGUUCACUGGUCUGCAAUGCACCGGCAGCACCGUAAGACGAGGAAUAUCACAGCCAAUCUGCAUACCACUUCCAGAAAACGCCAUCAAGAAUCAGACCAGAGCCAUCAUGCAUGUCUUGCCAUGCCAUGUCAUGCCAUGAUGCCCAUGGCUGUGAUCGGAGCGAUCCGCACACUAUGUUCAACUCCUCCUCCCCCAUCUUCAGACAACAGCUACCCUUCAUACGGCCUGCAGACCGAGCGUCCGGUCCAUCCACCUGAUGAUGUCGGCGGCGAUCUCGUCGCGCUCGGGUUCGAAGAGCAGGUCGUGCAGGAACCCCUCGUACAGCCGCAGGUCCUUGUGCCUCGACGCCGCCUCCCUGUAGAGCUCCUGCGAGGCCAGCGGGUCCGUCACCCGGUCCGCCGUGCCGUGCAGGACUACAAACGGGACAGUCACCUUCUUCAGGUUGUGCAGCAGGUAGGAGGAGAUGCGCAGGAUCUCGUGGCCCGUACGGACCCUGAUCGGCCCCGUGUAGACCAGCGGGUCAGAGUACUUUGCUAGCAGCGCCGCAGGGUCGCGGGACACCGGGAUGCCCCGCUUGUUGGCUCCCUUGAAUUGGAACUUGGGUGCAAUCAGAGAGAAUAUCGGUGCCACUGCCUGCAUUUGAUUCAGAUGAGUCUCAGUG